AGUUAUAAUGUAAACACAUAAAUUCAGAGCAUAGGUUUAAGUGCAGUCAAGUAGGACUAAAAUAAAAGUACAUCGCUCUCAGGUGAGUCCUACAUGUCAAGAGUUUGUCAGAAAGCCGAAAUAAGACCUCGAGAGUCACAAACUGCUAACUAGAACCUGGAGGGGCGCAAAACAAAAUGAGUGGGUCAGUAAAACCAAAGAGUUUUCCAAAACAGUUCAUUUAAAACAUUUCUAACCCCUCACCGUAAAAACCUGUAUACUUCCCCAGAAAAUAGUAUAUAAACAUAUAUAUAUAUAUACACGCAACAUCAAAACUCAACUCAUAUCCAUCAUUACAACAUCUCAGAAAUGAUAUGCCAUGCACAAAAUAUAAUCAGAAUGCAUCAAUAUCAAUCAGGUGAAAUAAUACAUCAACCGGAGAUCCUACAAUGGUCAUGUACGGCUGAUUCUAAAGCUCAACAUCUAAUCCAACCGGAGUCACCUCGGUGACCUGUACGGUCCAACUCUGCACGUCACUCGGAACUACAUAUAGUAGUCUGUACGAUGACAGGUGUAUAAAUACGCUCUAGUGCUUCUCUCAUCAAUCAACAGCGCGCAUAACUAAGGUCACCCACUAGUCGGAAUCACAUCUAGUGAUAUGUACGACUAGCAUGUCAGAACCCUCACAUGGUCUGUACGACAUCCACCUACUUGGAUCCAAGACGAGCGUGCGGUGUGGUGAAUAACAAUAUAAGCACUAACACCUAGGUGCAACUUAUGAGCUUUCAAUGCAAUUCAUAUAAAAUAACUCAGCUGAAUAAUAAUAAAACUCACAUGUGCGUCCACCGCGUCAAUUCACAUAUAUAUGCAUCAAUUAUCAAACUAAAUAUCUCAACAAUUGCAUGCAUGGCAAAUAAAUUCAUAAUUUUCACAUAAACGUAUUUUCUGGGAAAAACAGUUGUAUAUAGGUAAUACGAAAUCAGAACUGCCCACUCACUGAUAAGUCGAUGGAUCGUAACCCCCGUGACGUCCUUGGAUGCACUCGUCCUCGGGAUAGGUGUCACCUAUAUGCGAAACAACUAUAAAAACGUUAAUUUUAAACACAUAACCAUUAAUUCGAAAUAACUUCUCAUACGAUGCUCAAUUUGGGUAUAUGAAUAUACCACAUCGACCUACUCGACGUCACGGACGUCGAGGAAUUUUUAGAAAAAAUUUUAGGCUUGCCACGCGCCCCCACGCGCCGUGGGUGGCACAGGUCCACGCGCCCCCACGCGCAUCAUCUUCAACCUCAGCUCGCCGGACUGGUUUUUCCGGCGGUCGGUUUCUGGCGAACUUUGAAACUCUUUGUUCUCCUUCGUUUCUCAACCAUUUUCUUCGUAUUUUAUACCAAAAUGAAGCCCCAAACAUGUAGAAUCACGAUAGACUAGUUUAAGGCUCUAAAAAUCAAGAAAUCUCACCAGAAAAUUUCCAAGAAAAUCGGCCAAAGUUGAACCACGUGAUCCUGACGUCCAAAUCCUUCAAACGAAGUACUCCGAGCCUCCUUGGGACCUUACUAAGCUCACUACAAGCUUAGAAUUCCCUAAAAAUAAACAUUUUACGUUUGCAUGAAUAGUGACCAAAAAUGAAGGUUCGGGUUUCACGUGAUUCCGAGGAUUUCACUUCCUAAAACUAGUACCAAUCAACUUAAAAUGACUCAAGGAUGAAGAUGCAUACCUUGGUUGCCUCGAUCCACCGAGAUUUGGGAGGUUUUGGGUGUGUCCGUACGUAUGGGUGUGUGUGAGAGAGAGGGAGUCGAGAUGGAGGAGAGAGAGAGAGGCUACAGGAAUGAGAGGGAGAGAGAGAGGGUUUGUGAUGUCCAAAAACAAUCCCCACCAUCCAUUUUACAUCCCUAACCAAAAUAACAAAAAAUCAAAUUAAAGUCAACUUAUCUUAUUAUUUUCUUCCAACACAUUACUAAGAUUAGACUAAAAUAAUGUCACACACCCAAGUACCUUAAUGCCCGUUAAGGGCAAUUUCGUCAUUUCACAUUCCCGUCAAAUGUACCUCCGGGACGGGCUGUGACAACUACCCUGCCGCUGCCUACAAGUUCCUUCCUCGCCCCCGUUUCUACGUCCAAUUAAUUAAUCUGGAGGUAAGCUUUUAAAUCAGGUUCAAUUAACCUCUAUAAGUACAUCUUUUAAUUAGUAUUGUAUCAUCUUGUUGAUCGUGUUUAAUUUUCUAGGUUGCACAACCUAAUCUUGAGGACUCAAAUGAUGAUGAUAAUCUCGAAAAUCUUACUCUAAUUAACUGUAAUUUGAUGGAAGUGAUUUUUCAACUAAAGGGACCGGAGCAUGAAGAAAGUAGUCACUCCGUUGAAGCAUUCAAUAAAUUGAGGUCCUUGCGGUUAGAUAUAUUGCCAAGUUUAACGCAUGUUUGGGAGACGGGUAGUUCACAAUCGAUGUUCACAGGAAGUAACUUCGGAAACUUGAAAUCGCUACGGGUCGUUGCACCGAUGAAAUAAUUACAUUACCUAAAGUGAAGUCCAUCAAUCUUAAAUGUCGGCCAAAACUCAAGUAUUUUUAUGGUGAAACUUAUACUUUCAAGUUGCCGUCUUUGGAGUUAUUGGCGGUUACUGACGUGCAAAACUUAAGCCUAUUAGCUCCAAAGCUUAUUGCCCACAUCCCCGAUUGCAAGUACGCACCGCGAUGGGAGUGGCUGAAUGGAUGGGGGACCUCAAUGCCACUCUAAGGAAUAUUUACGUAAUCACUUAUGUGUGCAUAUGCGCACACUAAAAUAUGUUUUUUUUUUUUUUUUUUUUUUUUUUAGAAACUCGAAUUAUAUUUCAAGAAAACAUCUCUCUUUUAUUUCUAAUACCGAGAAGAAUGAAGCUGACGGAAUUCUACUAGACACCAUAUAACGAGGAUGUUAACAAUCACAAAAGGUUGUGGCUUCGGCUAUUCGCUUACUUUCAUAUGUACAAACCAAUAAGAUGUCAGUUCGCCAAAAAAAAAAAAAACCAAUAAGAUGUCAUUUGUUGCACCAGAAUUUCAUUCUAAAGAUUCUGUUUCCGUUGCUUACUAUAUGUAUAAUUAAUUUCGAUUGCGAUUAUUACUGUUUGAAUUCAUCUCUCGACUGCCUAUGGGGACGUCAAGGUGGACACCAAAAUGGAGGCGCGAUGACCUGCAUCCGGAAAGUGACGUAGCCAUAACGUGCAUGCAAAUAUAAUUUAAUAAAAUAACUUCAAAUGAUCUACUGAAAAAUCGGCAUAGUCUCCUUUGGAAUUAGGUUUUGGCCCCCAAAUUUAAAACCUGCUGAAAAAGUUAUAAUUAUUUCAAAACCACAUCCCCGUCACCUAAUGGGUUAUCAACCCUCUACUACAUGCACGUAUACUCCAAUAUACUUACUGGUGGUUAGGCCUGGCAAUUCCUGACACGAUCCGAUAACCCGACACGACACGACACGAAAUUAACAGGUGUCCGGGUCGACACGAUAACGAAACGGAUCAUUAUCGGGUAACCCGAUAAGCACCUGUUAAGAUAACGGGUUUGUUCGGGUAUACACGUGGGUAACACGAUACACGAUAAGCAAAAUAUUAAUUUAAUAAUUUAUAACCCUAAAAAAAUACUAUAAUAAUUAUAUAUAUAUAUAUAUAUAUUAAUUUAACAAUUUUAUACCCCUAAAAACUAUAAUAAUUAUAUAUAUAUAUAUAUAUAUAUAUAUUAAAUUAACUAUAAUAAUUAUAAUAAUUAUAUAUACUAUAAUAAUUAUACCCAACAUAUUAACUAUAAUAAUUAUAUAUAUAUUAAAUUUUAUACCCCUAAAAUCUAUAAUAAUUAUACAUACAAAAUAAAUAGAUUUAAAUCUACUUAAUAAAUAAAUAUAUAUAUAUACACACACACACCAUUGAACUUCAUGGAAUACGAAUUAUACAAAACUAAUUUCAACGAUCCAACCGUCAAACAUGUUUGUAUAUACUUCGUAUAUACUUCGAGAUUGCAUACGCCAAAAAUUGCAAAAAACAAACAUUUAGAGAGCAAAUAACAUGACAAAACUUUUCGACGGUUAUAAACGAAAAAUCACGAUUUAACAGUCAUUUUAACUCCGAUUUUGAUGAUUUUUUACAACCACACUCCUUGACCCUAUAUGAAUACAAUGAUUGAAUUCGAUCUUCAAUUUAAAAUAUUUACACUAGUGGAUACCACAAAAUCUUAUGUUAUACUUAAUAAAAGUAUGAAUAAACUCUUAAGUAUUAGUGAAUCUAUUGUUUUGAUGGGAUACUCAUUCUACAAAACUAGUUUCAAUGAUCCAACCGUCAAACAUGUUUGUAUAUACUUCGAGAUCGCAUACGCCAAAAAUUGCAAAAAACAAACAUUCAGAGAUCAAGUAAUGGGACAAAAGUUUUUCGACGGUUAUAAACGAAAAAUCACGAUUUAACGGUUAUUUUAACUCCGAUUUUGAUGAUUUUUUACAACUACACUCCUUGACCCUAUAUGAAUACAAGUAAUGAAUUCGAUCUUCAAUUUAAAAUAUUUACACUAGUGGAUACCGCAAAAAAUCUUAUGUUAUACUUAAUAAAAGUAUGAAUAAACUAUUAAGUAUUAGUGAAUCUAUUGUUUUGAUGGGAUACUCAUUCUACAAAAACUAGUUUCAAAGAUCCAACCGUCAAACAUGUUUGUAUAUACUUCGAGAUCGCAUACGUCAAAAAUUACAAAAAACAAACAUUCAGAGAUCAAUUAACGGGACAAAAACUUUUCGACGGUUAUAAAAAGAAAAAUCACGAUUUAACGGUCAUUUUAACUCUGAUUUUGAUGAUUUUUUGCAGCUACACUCCUUGACCUUAUAUGAAUACAAUGAUUGAAUUCGAUCUUCAAUUUAAAAUAUUUACACUAGUGGAUACCACAAAAUCUUAUAUUAUACUUAAUAAAAGUAUGAAUAAACUAUUAAGUAUUAGUGAAUCUAUUGUUUUGAUGGGAUACUCAUUCUACGAAACUAGUUUCAAUGAUCCAACCGUCAAACAUGUUUGUAUAUAUACUUCGAGAUCGCAUACGCCAAAAAUUGCAAAAAACAAACAUUCAGAGAUCAAGUAACGGGACAAAACAUUUUCGACGGUUAUAAACGAAAAAAUCACGAUUUAACGGUCAUUUUAACUCCGAUUUUGAUGAUUUUUUACAACUACACUCCUUGAUGAAUAUGAAUACAAUGAUUGAAUUCGAUCUUCAAUUUAAAAUAUUUACACUAGUGGAUACCACAAAAUCUUAUGUUAUACUUAAUAAAAGUAUGAAUAAACUCUUAAGUAUUAGUGAAUCUAUUGUUUUGAUGGGAUACUCAUUCUACGAAACUAGUUUCAAUGAUCCAACCGUCAAACAUGUUUUUAUAUAUUUCGAGAUCGCAUACGCCAAAAAUUGCAAAAAAACAAACAUUCAGAGAGCAAGUAACGGGACAAAACUUUUCGACGGUUAUAAACGAAAAAAUCACGAUUUAACGGUUAAUUUUAACUCCGAUUUUGAUGAUUUUUUACAACUACACUCCUUGACCUUAUAUGAAUACAAUGAUUGAAUUCGAUCUUCAAUUUAAAAUAUUUACACUAGUGGAUACCACAAAAUCUUAUGUUAUACUUAAUAAAAGUAUGAAUAAACUCUUAAGUAUUAGUGAAUCUAUUGUUUUGAAUGGGAUACUCAUUCUACGAAACUAGUUUCAAUGAUCCAACCGUCAAACAUGUUUGUAUAUAUUUCGAGAUCGCAUACGCCAAAAAUUGCAAAAAAAAAAAAAACAUUCAGAGAUCAAGUAACGGGACAAAACUUUUCGACGGUUAUAAACGAAAAAUCACGAUUUAACGGUUAUUUUAACUCCGAUUUUGAUGAUUUUUUACAACUACACUCCUUGACCUUAUAUGAAUACAAUGAUUGAAUUCGAUCUUCAAUUUAAAAUAUUUACACUAGUGGAUACCACAAAAUCUUAUGUUAUACUUAAUAAAAGUAUGAAUAAACUAUUAAGUAUUAGUGAAUCUAUUGUUUUGAUGGGAUACUCAUUCUACAAAACUAGUUUCAAAGAUCCAACCGUCAAACAUGUUUGUAUAUACUUCAAGAUCGCAUACGUCAAAAAUUACAAAAAACAAACAUUCAGAGAUCAAUUAACGGGACAAAACUUUUCGACGGUUAUAAAAAGAAAAAUCACGAUUUAACGGUCAUUUUAACUCUAAUUUUGAUGAUUUUUUGUAGCUACACUCCUUGAACUUAUAUGAAUACAAUGAUUGAAUUCGAUCUUCAAUUUAAAAUAUUUACACUAGUGGAAACCACAAAAUCUUAUAUUAUACUUAAUAAAAGUAUGAAUAAACUAUUAAGUAUUAGUGAAUCUAUUGUUUUGAUGGGAUACUCAUUCUACGAAACUAGUUUCAAAGAUCCAACCGUCAAACAUGUUUGUAUAUACUUCAAGAUCGCAUACGUAAAAAAAAAUUACAAAAAACAAACAUUCAGAGAUCAAGUAACGGACAAAACUUUUCGACGGUUAUAAACGAAAAAUCACGAUUUAACGGUCAUUUUAACUCCGAUUUUGAUGUUUUUUUACAACCACACUCCUUGACCCUAUAUGAAUACAAUGAUUGAAUUCGAUCUUCAAUUUAAAAUAUUUACACUAGUGGAUACCACAAAAUCUUAUAUUAUAUACUUAAUAAAAGUAUGAAUAAACUAUUAAGUAUUAGUGAAUCUAUUGUUUUUGAUGGGAUACUCAUUCUACGAAACUAGUUUCAAUGAUCCAACCGUCAAACAUGUUUAUAUAUACUUCGAGAUUGCAUACGCCAAAAAUUGAAAAAAACAAACAUUAAGAGAUCAAGUAACGGGACAAAACGUUUCGACGGUUAGAAACGAAAAAUCAUGAUUUAACGGUCAUUUUAACUCCGAUUUUGAUGAUUUUUUACAACUACACUCCUUGACCCUAUAUGAAUACAAUGAUUGAAUUCGAUCUUCAAUUUAAAAUAUUUACACUAGUGGAAACCACAAAAUCUUAUGUUAUACUUAAUAAAAGUAUGAAUAAACUCUUAAGUAUUAGUGAAUAUAUUGUUUUGAUGGGAUACUCAUUCUACGAAACUAGUUUCAAUGAUCCAACCGUCAAACAUGUUUGUAUAUAUUUCGAGAUCGCAUAUGCCAAAAAUUGCAAAAAACAAACAUUCAGAGAGAACGUAAUGGGACAAAACUUUUCGACGGUUAUAAACGAAAAAUCACGAUUUAACGGUUAAUUUAACUCCGAUUUUGAUGAUUUUAUACAACUACACUCCUUGACCUUAUAUGAAUACAAUGAUUGAAUUCGAUCUUCAAUUUAAAAUAUUUACACUAGUGGAUACCACAAAAUCUUAUGUUUAUACUUAAUAAAAGUAUGGUAUAGUACUAUUGUUUUAUUUUUUUUCAUAAUUAUUUUGGUAAACUUCUCAUAAUUUGAAUAAUUUUUAAUGUUUGGUUUUUCUAUGCUUAGUUUAUGCAGAAGAUAGUUAUGACGUGGAAAACCUUACUGAAAAGGUCAUCAACAUAACUCUUGAAGGCAAUAGAUCAAGCCAAAGUUCCAAUGCAAUUUCAUGAUGAUCGAUGUAAAUCGAUGAUUUUGUAAAUUGAGGUUUAAACUUUUGAGAAAGAUUUCAUAACCUUGAAAACAAAAACUGUUUCAUUUUGCAUAUCCUUGCACAUAUAAAAUUUGUAAUAGAUUAGUAGUGUAUGUAUUAUUUUUUUAUUAGGCUCUUAUUUUCGAGUGUAGAUGUAGUACUUAAACGACAAAUGUGUUUUAAUGUUUUGAAGUAAUAUUUAUGUGGCAAUGUGUGGUAUGUGCAAAUUUAAGAAAAAAAAAAUAUUUUUCUUAACGGGUCAUAACGGGUCGGGUCACUUUACCCGUUGGGUAAAGUGACACGACCUGUUAAGGACCCGUUAAGAUAACAGGUGUGACACGACACGACCCAUUAAGAUAACAGGUGUUAUACGAAAACGACACGAACACGACUGACACGACCCGUUUGCCAGGCCUACUGGUGGUAUAGCAUACAAUUUCAUACACUAGUGAUAACUAGUGUAAGCUGAAAAUUUAACCAUACACUAGUCAUAGUUAGUGUAAGAAAUGCAAAAGAUUGGGGAGAUGCGAAAGAACUCAUCUCUGGUCCUGGAAAUAUUGCAUACAAUAUUGCUCUACCAAUUAAACCAAAUCUUAUGACUCUAGUGACAAGCUAGAAAGCCACAAAAGAAUAAACAAGGAAUCAGGCUAUGCAAUUUCCUACCACAUUUUCACAUCAACGUGAUUGUUAGGGGUUUCAACAACUUCACAGAAUAACCACAAAUCUCAUCUCCGGCAUUCAGGCAGAAAAAUCAAAUAAAAGUUUGAAAUCAAGAAUCAAUCCCGAAACUGAAAGUUGAAAUUUUGGAAAAAUAACUUACAUCAGAGGACUUUCCAUGAGGAGAAGAUCAUUUUUACCUCUUGGGUCGAGGACAUUCCACGAUGAGCCUGCAUAAAUGAACCAAUUAAACAAAGAAAUGAAAACCGAAUAACUCGGAAGCUAAAGUAUCACAGAUAGAAAAUUGCAUAUACCUAACUAAAAAUGCACAACCUAACGAGAUGUGGUAGUCUAAGUGUAUAACACAAGGGUGAGAAGUACUCUAGUGCUCACAAACUGAAGCCACAAGACUACCAGAUAAUGUAGCUUCAGAAAUAUCAUUCGUUCUUUUGCGCACAAUCAUACAUGCUCAUCAGAACAAAGUAUGAUCUCCAACGGAAAUAGAAGUGACACAGGUGAAAGUCAAAAUAAACAAACAAAUAAUAGUGAACGAGAAGGCCCUAAAGAAUUGCUCUAACUAGGAGACAAGCUUAAAUUAUUCAGAUAAUAAGCCUUGCACAAACCCAACUUUCAAAAAACUAGAUUAGUAUGCCGUGAUAUUUAACAAUGCCGUCAAAAACUUGCUUGUUGAACUACUCAACCCUGUAUUCCAUCUCCUUCUCUGCCAUACCAAAAAUUUGCACAAUUGUUUAAAACCAAAUUAAGGUCUUUCGAAAACCCACCAGAGAUUAUUUGAAAAACACGAAUUUAGAACAAUAAUUCAAAACCAAAGAACAGAAAAUCCAUCACACCAGAGUAAAAAUUAACCAUCUUGUUGCUUCCUAACUCUCAAGAAAUAUCCACGUCUCACUUUUACUAAUGUCAAAACACUGCCAUCAUUGAUCAAUUAGACAAAUAAGACCCAAUUCGAUUACGCCCAAACUCACAGAACACCCAGAUUCCCAACAUCAAUUGAACAAUCUAACCAUGAAUUUCCAAAACUUUCCCCAAAAUCCAGUCUUGGGCAUGCAUUAAAUCCAAUCUAAAACUUGAAUUCAUUUUUAGAGAACAAAAAGUAAAAACUUUGGAACAAUGAAGCAAAAGGGUAAUUACCUGUUCCUUGUCCAAAACCGUCGGCGCAUUGUUGGGGGCAGCCAUUAGAACCUGGACAAUUCGCAAAUUCGCAAAUUAAUUUACACAAACUUCUUCGAAACCGAAUGAAUUAGCAGAGAGGGUUUAAGUAAUCUUACUCGGUGGGAUGGAAUCGAACGCGCUGAAAGUGGUAGCUCUAAAUGCAGAGGGGUUUAAGCGUCCGAUUUGAAGCGAAAGCAGGAGAAAAUAAAAAUCCCACUGAGCUAAUAAUAUACGAAUUAGGGUUUUAGGAGUUAAUAUAGCGUGUAUAUGCGAUGGACGGUUUUGUUUUUCGGGGGGAUUUCAACCGGAAAAGUUAGUGGAUUAUUGCCCUUUCUUUUCUCCUUCCCAAAGGCCCUGUAUGGUGGGCCGUCGUAUAUAAUUGUCCUUUUCUUUCUUAUUUUUUGGAUUUUUUUAUUUCUUUUCUAACUCAUAGAUCAUCGGGGCUCAGGUUCAGUUGAUUAAAGUAGUAUGUUUCUUUUGUUAUGCUAUAGUUUGAAUAUUCAUUCAAAUGAUUUAGAUUUCUUGGUGCAAAGUAUCAUUCAAUUAAAGAAAAAACUCGUAUUAUGUUUGCUUACAACCAUUGUAUGUUUGCUAACAACAAAGGAUUUGAGAGGAAAAAAACGUGAAUCCACAUUGAAAGGAAAAAAAUAUGUGCUAGAUUACGCACUGCAAAUGGAAACAAGUUGUCACCCCUAUUUAUCCAAAAAUAAUAUACUUGUUAUAGAAUAUUAUAUUACGAAGGGCGGAGAGCGUGUGUACGGCAAAUUAGGAACGGGUACAGCAACGUAGCAGCACAAGCAAGACGAUGAUUGGAACUGCAACUUACCCCACACAUUCACAGAAGCCUUUUUCUUUCCCCUGCUGGUGUUCAUGAAAGCACUUUGAAGUGAAAAAGCCAUGAAAUUACGAAGGCAAGGAUCAUGCAGACAAGAAGGAAAUUCAUAAUGCAGCGGCCAUGCCACAUGGUUCAGGUUUCAACCUGGAUCAUGGGUGGUGCUGGUACUGAUGCGGCUGUGGCAGUACUGCUAUUUGCCUCGUUAAUCUGGUCACCUGAAAUGUUGAAUGCAGUUACUCCACAGAUCUCGCAGGUUCUGCAAAUCAUAUGAAUAAAAUUAUGCAUAGGCAGAAAAUAACAUAUCAGUCAGACAAGACAAGUAAUUACAACCAUAACGCAACAUAAUGAAGAAAUGUACCAUGAGGAUUUUGAACAAACAUAAUGAAGUGUAACCAACAGCAUACAAAUAUAAAAAAUAUAGAGGAAAAUGCUAUACAAUCACUGUAAGUGAUUUCAAAGGCCAUCAAUCUUCUAUUUCUGUUUCUGGAAAAAAAGUCAUGUCAUCAAGAUGUCGUUCCAUUUGCUUACCAUGAUGAGUAAAAUGAAAUUUGAACUAGCUUGCUGUUCUUGCAUAUCUUCUCCUCAUCCUGGUUACCAAGCAAGUCAGCCUUGACCAAUCCAUCUAUGAUGCAGCUUAUCUAGAUUAUAUUUCCUGUUGCCUAAGUUUGGAUAUUUCCUUUGCAGAGGGUAUAGCGUGCAAGGUCCUAAGAACUUUACCAAAUUAUCAUCCUUCGAGUAGAGAAAAUCUCCCAAAUAUAUAAGCGAAAUAAACUUGUGACGGAAUCAAAGAAUGCAAAUGCUCAUCAUCAUUUACUAAUCCAUAUGCAUAAUGUAAACAUUUACAUCUUUAUUAGAAGCAUACAUAAAAAAUACAUGGCACACAAGAUAUCAACUUUUCGACCUAGGAGCUCAAUUCUUGCAUACAAACACACUUCCUUUAGUUUGCAUUGGACCUCGCACUUUCCACUAAUGUAAAUGCCACAGAAAGUGUGACUGUAAAAACUUUAAACGUAGAACGAUCGAUAUGUUUGAGUUCAGAUGGACUGUAAUAUUGGUGACUACAAGAUUUGUUCUUUUACUAGAUUUUCUCGUAUUUCAUAUGAGCAUACGCAUUCUACUAUAUACGUGAUCUGCCUCAUUUAGCAUUCCAGUAAGAAGCAAAAUGAUAAGAACAAUUGUGACAAUUACAUCAAAAGAAAGAAGCUAAUUAGCAAGUAAUCAUUCGAAUAAGCUGAACUCACAGAAGCAGAAACCUAAACACUAUCAAGAUGGUCUCUGUUGUAGCAUGCCCAUAGUAAGAUCAUAGUUUGAAGUAUGUUAGGAUGCCACUUGUCAUCAUCUCAAUAUGACAAAUGUAAGGUUGAGAUGCUCUAGUAGUAGAUAAGAUGGUUGUAAGUUGUCGGAUGAUAGCUUACAGAGGAAGCUAAGUAGUUUACAUAUAAGGAAGUCGGUUGUAAUUGGGAGGGGGUCAUUGGAAUAAUCUCUGUGUAAUACAAGAAAGUACUAUGCAAUUGUGAAGAAGCCGAGCAAGGUUUUAACAUUGGUAUCAGCCAGUGUCGAUUCCUCUCAAUCCUUCAUUGUUGUAUGCCUCGCCGACCCCGGAACACCAUGGAAUCGCGAGUGUCGACUUUGGAAACCAUGCUCGCCGAUCUCAAAGCUGAGUUCAACUAACAGCCAAGAGAUGAUCAUGAUGCAGCUGCAAUCAUGAUGCAGAUGGAUGCAUUAUUUGUGGCUUUUAUCGUUAUUGAAAUCUUGUUGGAAUUUCGACAUUUAUUGAUCAUAAUGCAUCCAUCUGCAUCUCCGUUGUAUCAUUACCCUGUACAAAGAAAGUGGCUCGAAGUCUUGAGAAGCAACAUAACCAACAAUCACACCACGGCAUUUGGGUGCUCCAUUAGAAAUGGUGGGACUACGACCAGGAAUCCCAGGUACAUUACGUCUUGCUACAGUUAAAAGGGACAAGUGCUCAAAAUCAAAUACAUAUUCGUGAUAUAACUUUGGCACUCUUAUUUCUGAUACAUAGUGACUGAGCAGAUAAUCAUAGAUAAAAUCUUUAAAAAAAAAAAAUAUCACAAUUUCAACCAGAAAUUUCAAUGGCUCUGACGUCAACGUUCUUCAACUCCGCCUUCGGAACAGUGACACUCAGAACUCCAUUCUCCAUGGCAGCCUUAAUCUGAUCAACCUUUGCGUUCUCCGGAAGCUGAAACCUCCUCAAGAACUUGCCGCUGCUCCUCUCCACUCUGUGCCACUUGUCGUUUAUAUCCUCCUUCUCCACGUUCCUCUCUCCGCUGAUCUUAAGCACCCUGUCGUCUUCCACCUCCACCUUCACCUCCUCUUUUUUCAGCCCUGGAACGUCCGCCUUGAACACAUGGGCUUCGGGGGUCUCCUUCCAGUCGACCCUAGUGUUCACAAAAGCCGAAUUCUCCCGAGAAAAUUCAGGAAAUGCGGAGAGUGAUGAGGAGGAAGGGAACGGGAAAUCCUUGAAAGGGUCCCACAGAUUGAGGGAGAAUGGGUCGAAGACGCUGCUGCUUCCUCCUCCGGAGUUGGGAAUUAGCGACAUUCUGAAAAACCGAUGGGGUUGGUUUGGAUGCAGAGAAAUUUGAGAAUUAUUACAGAAAUAUUGCUUUUGCUGGACUGAUUGCAGAAAUAGCGGAUUUGAUAUAUUUAUAAGGAACCGAAGAAUUUUCUAGAACAGACUUGAGGAUGAGGCUGGAAAAGUAUGUGUGAGUUUCUCGAACUUUCUAUGAUGCUUGAGAAUAAUUGGAACUUUCUCAGGACGCUUAAGAAUAAUCCGACGUUUGUGUGAGUUACUCACACAACACGGUUGACUUCAUGAUGAUGAAUGGUGGACCCAAAAACCUAAGUGUGGGGGUUGUAUGGGCCGUUCGAUUUAAUCGGACGGUUAAAACUGAAGAUACUGUGCAAGUUAUAAGCGGGGCGUUUGAAUCUUUGAUAUGUAUUAUUUGGACUUAUUGAUAAAUAAUAAUAGUUCCAUUAAAUUAACAAUAUCAACUAAAUAUCAAUAACAUUUAACAUCUCAUGAAGUAGCUUAUCUAAAGGUAAAGGGAGUUAUAGCCCAAACAAGCAAAUUACGUACCAACAGUUAAGUAAUAUGAUGGUUACUUAGUACUAUAUUUUAAUGAUUUUUUUUAUUUGUGAGUAAGAAAUCUUAAAUUCGAUUUUAAAUUUUAAAGCUUUGAUUGGAUCAGUUUGAAUGAAAAGUGUUAACCAAGCUUCUAAAACUGGAGAAAGGAUUUCUAGGCAGCAAAAGGCAAGACCCAUGGCGUACAAUUGAGAUUUAAAAAAAAAUGGCUUUGAGAUUUUGUUGGUUAGGAUGUCCUUCCCUCAAUUGUGAGCAGCUCUUAAUUUGCUUUCUUCGCAGGCAGGCGAAUUGGAGACAAUAGUAUGCUUUUGAAGGAGUUUCUUAAAAAUUACCACAGAAACAAUGGUCUUCCUAGAUGUGCCUUGCAGGUGGACAUUCUGAUAGCUUGUGAUACCAGGUUGGAAAAUGGGUUACUAGGAUUAGGCUGGUUCAUAGUUCGAUUCCAUUUAAUUGUAACUGGUAGAAGAAAAAAAAACACUUUCAAACGAAUUUGUAUAGAAUUUAUAUGCUACGACUAAUAGUAGCCCUACUAUUGUUCGAAAUAGAUUAUCAAUUCUAAUUGUGAUGUUUGUACCGUAAAAUAAUGUGAUGCCACGAACGAAUAAGGAUGGCUCAAGCCAUGUAUUGUGCCUUGAGAAUGUGGGGUUGGGAAGCAAUGCAUCCAAUUUUUCUUUCACUUUAUCCUUUUUUUUUUUUUUUGUUAAAGAAAAUACCAUAUGGUUCGUAAGCAAAGUAUCCAAAUCUUUUUCACCUUUUUUUUUGAUAAAGAGAAAUACAAAGUGGGUUCGAAAGCAAUGCAUCCCAUUCUCUUUCCCUUUGUCUUUUUCUUGUUAAAAAAGAAUAACCUUUGUCUUUUUCUUGUUAAAAAAGAAUAAAAAUACCUUACUUCAGAAUCACCUCCUCUUGAGGUAAUGCUCGUUAAAUAUAUAUUUUUUGCUUCUCUAUUUAUAUUGUUAGAGAACUCUUAUUAACCUUUCCCCAUUGAAGUUAUCUGCUCAUUGCAUUGCUGAGGUAACAUAAUCUGUCCUCCUUGUGCAUGAUACCAUUCAACAUUCAUAUUUUCUAGCAAAUUCGUGAAGUAACAAUGUCAAGACCAGACACAUGAGUUGUUGCUGAAUAAGUCAUAGAUUUCAGAAUUUCACUUUUACUCUAGCAAACUGUUGCAUUGGGUUGAUUUACAAUACAAGUACGUACGUACAUCUUGGAAACUUUAUUUCUUUUCAAUAUUUGUUGUUUUAGGUGUUUAUUUUUACCCAUGUGUGACUAAGAAACAAAAGUGUUGGUUUUACAUUAUAUUUUCUAGCAAAUUCGUGAAGUACCAGAUCCAACACCAGACAUAUUGUUGUUGAACAAGGCAUAGAUUUCACAAUUUCAUUUUUUUCCCCUACCGGUUAGUUGCAUUUGGUUGAUUACAAUACAGGUACGUAUGUUCUUAGAAACUUCAUUUCUUUUCAAUAUUUGUUGUUUUAGGUGUUUGUACUAUAUGUUUAUGCAUUUUGAUGUUCAUCCACGUCAACUGAAAUUGAGCUAAUCCCCCCCCCCCCAUAAUCGAAUUUUUACUUUUCUCACUCAAUACAAAAAGUUUGAAAACACAUCUACUAUAUGGUGGUGAAAUGUAAACUAUUAGAAAUUUAUAUGCUGUAAAAUAAUAAAGAGUAAAUAAAUAUACACAUGCACUGAAACCAUCAAUUGAAAAUAUGAAUUUACCCCUUGAAAUUCAAUUUUCUUUAACUAAAACUCAUCAUAGUAUAUUUUCCUAACAAAAACUCAUUGACUUUACCUCUUGAGAAAAAAAACAGGGCCUUCGGGUUUUUUACAUAUAUUUUUUUUUAACACUUCUCCUAUUUAUAUUGUUAGAAAGCUCUUAUUAACUCUUCCCCAUUGAAGUUAUCUGUUCUUAUAUUUGCAUUGAUGUGCAUCAUCUUUCCUCCUUGUGCAUGCUAACAUUCAACAUUCAAAUUUUCUUGCAAAUUCGUGAAGCACCACUACCAGUACCAGACAUAUGAUUUGUUGCUGAACAAGGCAUAGAUUUCAAAAUUUUCAAUUUUACUCUGUUGGACAAUUGCAUUGCGUUGAUUUACGAUACAGGUAUGUAGUACUUCUCUUAAACUCUAGUUAUGUCCAAUAUUUGUUGUUUUAGGCGUUUGUUUUUAUCCUGCUUGACUAAGAAACUAAAAUGUUAGUUUUACAAUCUAGUGCCCACCAGAUAUUCUAUUUCAGGAUCCAGAUCAACAAUUUUAUUGAUUAGGUUUUGACUUCACAUAAUUUUGUAUUUUUAGAUGUUUAAAAUAUCCCUAGUAACAUAUGUUAGAUUAAAAACAAAUUUUAAUAUCUUGAUUUCAUUGCAUAUUAAUAAUAAAAGUAUAUGAUUCUAGGGUUUUCAUUGUUUUAUUUUAUUUUUUUCCUUUUUAAAUUCCUUGGUUGCUUUUCAAAUUUGCAUAAGAUUAAAUAAGAUGUUCUUGACCUCCAAAACAAGGGCUUUGAAAAUGUGGCCCAUCCUGCACCUCCACCAGAGAUAUGGUCAACAUUCGAAAAAGGUUUUAAGGAUUUUAAGUCCAGAAAGGCAAACAUGAAUGAGGUGAUAGAGGGUUUGAAGAGGGUAGAAGUACGAAUGAUUGGGAUUUGUGGAAUGGGGGGCGUGGGUAAAACCACAAUGGUAAAAGAAAUCAUCACAAGAUUGGCAAAACUGAACCUGUUUGAUAAGAUUGUAAUGGCAACUGUGUCUCAAAGUCCAAGUAUUAGGACGAUCCAGUCGGAAAUUGCAGACGAAAUAGGCUUGGAAUUUAAGGUGGAAUCCGAGCCCGGAAGAGCACGAAAGCUACAUGAGAGACUCAUGGAAAUAAAGAGGAUCCUCAUUGUAUUAGAUGAUGUAUGGACAGAGCCUAAUUUUGAGGCUAUAGGGCUUCCUUAUGGAGAUACUCAUAAAGGGUGCAAAAUUUUGUUGACAUCAAGAGAUUCGGAAGUCUGCAACAGGAUGGGAAGUCAACAAAUUAUUGCAGUCCCGACUUUAACAACAGAAGAAUCACAGGAGCUCUUUCGAGAAAUGGUAGGUGAAUCCUUCAAUGAUCCUGAUUUACGUUCCACUGCAGAAGAUGUCGUGAAGGAAUGUGGAGGUUUACCUAUUGCUAUUGUAACUGUUGGAAAAGCCCUAGAAAAGAAAAACAAGCGUGAAUGGGAUGAUGCCCUUAAUCAGCUGCGUAAUUCCAGGCCAGAGAAUAUCCCUGGAGUGAACGACAAAGUUUAUUCUUGCAUAAAAUGGAGUUAUGAUAGAUUAGAGAGUGAUGAAGCCAGGUCAUGUCUUUUACUUUGUUGUUUAUUUCCAGAAGAUUAUGAUAUUUCAAUUGAGUAUUUGGUUCGAUAUGGGUGGGGUCGAGGAUAUUUUAGCAGCAUCGUUACUUUGGAAGAUGCAAGAAAUAGAGUGCAUUCUUUGGUUUACCAACUAAAAAGAAGGUUUUUGUUGCUAGAUAGUUAUGUGAGUGAGGCUACGAAAAUGCACGACGUAGUUCGUGAUGUUGCCAUAUCAAUUGCUUCAAGAGAUCCACAUGGAUUUCUGAUAAGUAAUGCUGAAAAUAAAAGGUGGCCAAAUUUAGCUACAUAUGACCAUUACACUACAAUCUCACUUGUUGGCAAAUUGGAGAUUCCAGUUGGUUUGAAAUGCCCAAAACUUGAGCUUCUACAAAAGAUGAAAGGACGUUUUUCAGAAGGUAGCAUGGACAUCAUUAGUGAUACGAUGAGAGAACUGAAGGUUUUAGCUUUGGUGGAAAUGAAAGACCUAGGCUCAUCAAGACCACUAGGAGUACUGAAGAACCUGCGAACCUUGUGCCUAGAUAGGUCUAAAAUUGAUGGCAUGUCUACUGAUGUUAUUGGGAGUUUAGAGAAUUUAGAAAUCCUCAGCUUUCGUGGUUGUGUUUCCUUGCAUGAGUUGCCGAGGGAAAUUGGACGACUUAAACAGUUAAGGUUGUUAGAUACGACAGAUUGCAGGAAUCUUGAGGUGAUUCCACAUGGUAUCUUCUCCAGCUUAUGUAGACUUGAAGAGUUGUAUAUGCUUAAUAGCUUUACGAAAUGGGAAAUUGGAAGAGGAAGAGAAGAUAAGGGGAUGGCAAGCAUUUCUGAGGUGAUGUCUCUGUCUGAUCAUUUGAAGGUUCUAGCCAUAAAUAUACCCAGUGUCAUCCACUUGUUGCCAAAAGAUAGAGUCUUGAAAAGCCCAACAAUAAGAUUCGGUAUAUGCUUUGGAACUGGGCAAUGCGUUUUUGGAAGAUGACAAUUUAUGCAUUCGAAAAUUGUUUGGUGAUUGAUGAAAGUGAUGCAAAGGAGUUGGAGAGUCAAGCAGUUAGACUUUUGUUGAAAAAAUCUAAAAAAUUGAUUUUGAGCAAUGUUAAGAAUUUCCGUGUCCUCACAUAUUUAGACCAAGAGGGAUUUCAAGAUUUGAAAAUUUUGCUUGUUUUGAAUUGUCCAACUACCGAGUAUCUUGCAAAUGGAACAAGUGUGACCCAGCAAAAACUCUUUCCUCUCAUACAGUCAGUUAGUCAGCUUGCAGAUAGCUUUUUGAGCAACCUAAGAUUCCUAAAAUUGGCAGAUUGUGGUAUCUUAAAAUAUGCAUUUUCACUAUCACUAGCGAGAAACCUGGUACAACUCAAAGAUUUAUAUAUUUAUGAAUGUGAUCAGAUGGAAGAAAUUGUGUCAAAGCAGGGGAAGGAACAUGAGGAGGAAGCCGAUAUGAUAUCUUUCCAUAAAUUAACCAAUUUGAGUCUCUGGGGUCUACCGAGUUUGGUUGGUUUCUUCCAAGCCAACAAGCUAUACUCCAACCAAGAGGUAUGUCCCACUCUCCAAUUUCUAUGAUAUGAGGAGGCAACCAAAUUGUGGAAAUUUGAAAUUGUUACGAAAUGCUUAAGUUGGUGUAUAAUUUUUCUUUAACUGAUAAUGAUUUUUCUUUUUCAGGAAACAACGCCAAGGGUUGAGCAUCAAUCUGCAUGAAUAUUUGAAAAAGCAAUAUUUCCAUCAAAGUGCAUUUCAUGGUUACCAAGUUUAGAAAAGGUAGGAUUUGUUUGGAUUAAAACUUGACUUUGGGCUCAAGAUAGAAGCUGGCCCAAAAGGAGGCCUGAAGGAAUAGAAGAUCAAGGCCCGGCCGAAACCUAGGAAAGCAGAGAAGGGCUUUUUCUGACUUGAUACAAUUCAUAAGGACCACUUCCUUACCUACCCAAGGACCAAGUGGUAUAGACUGACCAGACUGCACAGCCCAUAAAGUACUUUAUGGUGGCAUUACAUGUAAAAAAGCUGAUGAGUCAUUACCCUCAAACUGCAUUCGGGCAAGGCUGCUGCUACAGGAGGCCAAACCAAGUUGUCUAUAAAAGGAGGAAGAGAAGACAAGAAUAAGGACACUCAAUCAAACAAACAAAUACAAGCCCAAACUCUGCUCAAAAACCAUAUUUGCCUUCAAAACGAAGCUGUAGUCAGCCCAAGCCUUCAUCCCAUUCGGGACAAGCCUUUAUCCCCCGCGGGAUAACCUUCUCUUCAAACCUUUGUAAUAGCUCUGCUACCUUGUUCGAACUUGUUGUAGUAUCGAUUCACUUUUUGUAUCUCCCUCUCCCCCCUCUCUCCCUCUAAGCUUUCAGACCUUUGACAAAACUACAAAGAUAAGGACCUGUAAGACGAUCAGCCUUAACUGAUAAGGUUUAACCUUGCCCGACCUUCUUUGCUUUGUCUUUGUCUUUUCAUUCUUUAAAGCCUAGCAAUAUGUUGUAUACUUCCAGUUAUAUGCAAGUUGUUUCUAGCAAAAUAAUGAUGAAAAGGCUUUCUCAGUAUUUGGAUCCGAUUUGAAUAUAUCUUCAGUGCUCAAAUCAGAUCCAAGUCCUAAGCCCUCGGGCAUGUAAAUCUGAUCAGUUUAAAAGUCCUUAGCCUCAAGGCAUAAAAAAGAACUUUAUGUGGACUUAACCCAUCCACGACAGUCCUUGAUAAACGAGAAGUCCGAAGUUACUUGGGGCGCAAGUAAUCGACCUACCUCUUGGUUUUGUUUCUAUUAUAUUAUGAUUAUCAUAGAACGCUUAAAUAUGGAAUAGAUUCUGAUAGGAAGCCUCAAGGCCUACACCUAAGGCCCCACAAAGGCACCUAUUUGGAUUCAUUCUAUUCUGCGGUCUAGACUGUUCGAAGAACGAACUCUAAUGGGAAGCCUCAAGGCCUACACCUAAGGCCCCACAAAAGCACCCAUUUGGGUUCGCUCUACCUCUCGGACUCGGGUAAUCAGAAGUAUAAUGGUGAGAAGACUUCUGCAAUCAUAAAGAUCAAAUAUGAUGUGUUCGAGCACUGGUUUAGUUUGAGAGAAAGCCUCAAGGCUUACACCUAAGGCCCCACAAAGGCACAUGUCAUGUCUAAACACGGUUUCUUGGGCAUAUACAUAUUCACAACUAAAACUCGACAUCCAUUCGACAUCUACCAUACUGAAGAUGGCAGUGGCACGCCUGAGCACCUCAAAAGUUAAUCUUGAUUGUGAGCCUCAAGGCCUAUACCUAAGGCCCCACAAAGGCACCUUUCAAAUUAACUCUGUCAUUCUCUUUCAGCACUGCCCGACGAGCCUUGCCCGAAGAGUCUUGCCCGAUCAAGACUUGCCCGACAAAGCCCGAUAGGAAAGCAGAAGCCCGACAGCAGCCCUCAACCGGCGCCAACCUCCCGGGGAGCUGUGUGCUUGUUGGCCAGGAAGACAUCCCCGACGGAAAUUCCUGCGACGAACAGGAUUGACAUAUAUUAUGAUGUUUGACGGCGUGAUAUUUGAUCUUAAAAUCCACAUAGUUACGGAUGGGCAGACAACUCCAAUAUUUCCUCAGUUACGUGAGUUGGCAAUAAGGAGUUGUUCAUUUACACACUUGUGGAAAAACAUUCCAUUUGGAUUUCAGGGUUUCCAAAAUUUGAGAUAUUUGAAAUUAAGAUAUUGUUAUGGUCCAGAAUAUGUGUUCUCGCAUUUAAUUGCCCGGGAACUUUUGAAUCUUGAAGAGGUAAAGAUAUCAAAAUGUUCGGACAUGGAAACUAUAGUCAGAAUCACAGAGGAAAUUGAAGAAGAGGCGACAAAAUACAUGAUUUUGUUUCCGAGACUGAACAGAUUUGAACUAGUAGACCUGCCUCGUCUCACAAGUUUUUGUCCAGAGGGAUUUACAUUUCAAUGGUCAUCCACAAAAGAUAUGCACGUGGAAAAAUGUGAAAAAUUGAAGACAUUGGGUGCUGUAAUUCCACAAAGAAAGAAGUUGGAGAAUUAUAAGUCUGAGAAGGAUUCAACAAGUCAUGAUUUCAGUACUUCUCCAACACGUUCAUCCAAUUGGUGCCCUGCUGGAUGUGUAUGCAUACCAUAUUUAAGAGCAAACGCCCACUGCUCCAUUGAAAUAUUGCCACAUCCAAUUAAUUUGGAGGUAAGCUUUUAAAUUAGGUUCAAUUAACCUCUAUAAGUACAACUUUUAAUUAGUAUUGUAUCUUGUUGUUGAUCAUGUUUAAUUUUCUAGGUUACACCAACUAAUCUUGGGGACUCAAAUGAUAAUGAUAAUCUCGAAAAUCUUAUUGUACAUGACUGUGCGUCAUUGGAAGUGAUUUUCCAACUCAAGGGACCGAAGCAUGAAGAAAGUAGUCACUCUGUUGAAGCAUUCAAUAAAUUGAGGUCCUUGCGGUUACAUAAGCUCUAAGUUUAACGUGUGUUUGGGAGACAGGUAGUUCACAGCCGAUGUUCACAGGAAGCAGUUUUGGAAACUUGAAAUCGCUGCAGGUCGAUUUUUGCAACCAGUUGAAAUACUUGUUUUCGUCGUUCAUAGUCAAACUCCUUGUGAGUAUAGAGGAAGUAGAAGUUAAGAAGUGUGAGCAGAUGAAAGAAAUCGUUGCCGCAGAAGAAGAAACUGAUGAAAUAAUUACAUUACCUAAAGUGAAGUCCAUCAAGCUUCAAAGUCUGCCAAAACUCAAUUAUUUUUGUGGUGAUGCUUAUACUUUGAAGUUGUCGUCUUUGGAGUUACUGGAGGUUAAGAAGGUCCAAAACUUAAGGCGAUUUGCUCCUAAGCUUGUUGACACACAUCCCCGAUUGCAAGUACGCACAGCGUUGGGAGUGGCUGAAUGGAAGGAGGACCUCAAUGCCACUCUAAGGAAUAUUUACGACACAAGGUAUGCUUUAAUGUAAGGUUUUUAAUUUUCAGUCAUUUAUGUGCGUAUUUAAUGUAAGAAUGCGAGCUGGAUGGAUGAAGUGUAAGAAUGCAUCCGGCGUAUUGUGUGACCGUCGUAGGCCACUGAAGCUCAAGGGAAAAUUUUAUAGGACGGCAAUAAGGCCGCGAUGUUGUAUGACACAGAAUGUUGGGCGGUGAAGCAUCAACACGUACACAAAAUGGGUGUAGCGGAGAUGAGGAUGCUUCGUGGGAUGUGUGGGCACACGAGAAAGGAUAAGAUUGGGAAUGAGGAUAUCCGAGGUAAAGUAGGAGUAGCCGAAAUUGUAGGAAAGAUGAGAGAAAAUCGGCUCCGGUGAUUUGGACAUGUGCAAAGAAGGCCGAAUGACGCUCCGGUUCGAAGAUGUGACUACGGGACAGAGGUUCAGGGCCGAAGGGGCAGAGGAAGACCUAGGAAAACUUUGGAAGAGACUCUAAGAAAAGACUAAGAGUACUUGGAUCUAACGGAGGACAUGACACAAAACCGAGCGCAAUGGCGUUCUAGGAUUCAUAUAGCCGACCCCACUUAGUGGGAAAAGGCUUUGUUGUUGUUGUUGUUGUUGUAUGUGCGUAUUUAAAGAUGUUUUUUUUUUUAAAACAUCUAUCUUUUAAUUCUUGAUGUAUACGUGGGAUUUCUAAAGUUUUUACAAAAGACUGAAUAAUAGCGUACAUAUAUUAAUGUAUAUGUGUGUGUAUAUGCGAGUAUGUGCACACUAAGGUGUGUGUGUGCCUAUAUAUAUAUAUUUUUUUUUAACUCAAUUGUAUCUCAAGAAAACAUCGUCUUUUAUUUCUAAUACAGUAAGGAUGAAGAUGACGAACUCGACAGUGAGGAUGAAGAUGACGAACUCGACAGUGAGGAUGAAGAUGACGAAAUCAACGGCGAGGAUGAAGAUGACGAAAUCGACAAUGAGGAUGAAGAUGAGGAAAUCGACGGCGAGGAUGACGAUGACAAAAUCGACGGCAAUGAUGAAGAUGACGAAAUGAACAGGGACGACGAACACAAUUGAUUGAUCAAGCACAAAGAUUAGCAUGUUUCCAUCUCCAACUUCUUCUAGGUUUAGUAAAAACUGAUGAAAAUUGUCUAUAUAGUACUCAAAAAAAUAUUCUACCAUGUUUUAUAUAAUAUAUACAUACAUUUAUAGCACUUAAAAAAAUUUAACAGUUUGGAUCUAAAACCAGAAUCUGCUACCUGUUUCAUUUUUUCGAGGUACCUAAUAGCAAUUAAGGACCUUUGUCAGACACGUAUACAAUAAACAUAACCCUAGUGCUAAGUGGCUUAAAAAUUAAUUUAGUCCUUAAACCGCUAUUUUUGGAAACACAUACAACAAGCACAAGCGUUUCAACUUAUUCCAAUUUCAGUGAUUUCUAAUAUUCUCCAAUGCAUGCAGGAAAAGAGUUUAAAGAACGUUGUGGCUACAGCAAUUCGUUUACUAUAUCAUAUGUACAAACCAAUAAAAGGACAUUUGUUGCACCCUAAUUUCAUUCCAAAAAUACUAUUUAUGUUGCUUAUUUUAUGUACCAUAAAUUCCAAUUGCGAUUAUUACUGUUUGUUUCUAAAUUCGCAUCAUUAGUGUUUGCUUAUUUGUGCUCGAUGUUGAUUAUAUUCUUGCAUUUCCAUUCAUAAUGAUAAUUUGGAAGUCUUGUCUCUAGCUAACUAAUAUUUGCAUUUCAAUUGAUAAUGAAAAUUCUAUGAUACCAUACAAGUGUUAGCUGAAUGACAUGUCUGUAGGAUGGAAAGCUGAAUAUACUGUAAUAUUGAUCACACACAUAUAAACUGAACAAUAUUAUGAUACACUAGCUAGCCGUAACUAAUGAAAGCUGAAUAAUAUGAUCACACACUAUAAAGUCCGCUAUUAUAGAAACUAACUUGGGGAUUGGAUAAGGGACGGCAAUAUUGGCCCAAUUCCGGCGAUAUUGGCCCGAAAACCCUGGGUCACCGUGUCUUAGAUUUGAAGUUGAGGAAAAUCGCCUACGAAUUUAUAGAAACUAACUUGGGGAUUGGAUAAGGGACGGCAAGAGCAUUCUGGAUGUGUAGUUUGAGAGCCUUUGGUGACCAGUGGACGACAGAGCUGUUGCGUCGGCACUCGGCAGUCGUCGGCUUGCUGUUAAAUGGGGCUCCUGUUGCAGCGCAAAAGAGAAGAAGGAAAGAGGAUACGGGAGGAGAGAAAAUGGGUUUCACCCACUUUGUACAUUAAUUCUUUUCCACAUUUUUUAUGGAAUAAACGACAUUAUCUAUCAUCAAAAGUGCGUUUGGUACGUGAGAUGAGACGGAACAUGUUUUGAUGAUAAUAAUGGUUAGAAGUAAUAUAGUUCAAAUUCAUCUUUGAUGAUAAUCGAAUAUAAAAUCCCUUACUUACAAGUUACAAAUAAAGAUGAAUGCCAUUAAUUUUUUUUCCACUUUUAAUACAUACCUAAAUAAAAAGAAACAAAAUGAAAAUGAAAAGAAAUAAUAAUUUGAAAGAGAAAUGAAAAAUAAAGGUAAAUUGACAGCAUAAGGUAACCCCACUACCCCGCUGCUGCCCGCAAGUUCUUUCCUCGCCCCUGUUUCUACGUCCAAUUAAUCUGUAGAAACUAACUUGGGAGUUGGAAAGAGAACGGAAAGAGGAGUCUGGAUAUGUAAUUUGACGGCCGUUGGUGACCCGUGGACGAAAAUAAACUUCAUGCGAAAACAAGACCAGAUUGAGGUAAGAAAGAAAAAUACAUAGGCAGAAAUAACAUGUCAGUCGGGCAAGACAAGUAAUUGCAACCAUAACACAACACAAUGAAGAAACAUACCACGAGGAUUUUGAACAAACAUAAUGAAGUGUAACCAAGAGCAUACAAAUAUCAAAAAUAUAGAAAAGAAUGCUAUACAAUCACUAUAAGUGAUUGCAAAGGCCAUCUUUCCUCGCCCCUGUUUCUACGUCCAAUUAAUUAAUCUGGAGGUAAGCUUUUAAAUCAGGUUGAAUUAACCUCUAUAAGUACAUCUUUUAAUUAGUAUUGUAUCAUCUUGUUGAUCGUGUUUAAAUUUCUAGGUUACACAACCUAAUCUUGAGGACUCAAAUGAUGAUGAUAAUCUCGAAAAUCUUACUCUAAUUAACUGUAAUUCAAUGGAAGUCACAUAAAAUUAUCAGAUUCCACAAUAGUAUUGGAAAUAACCUUUAGUCCUUAAACAGCUAUUUUCAGAAACACACAUUUCAGUGAUUUCUAAUAUUUUCCAAUGCAUGCAGGAGUUUCCCGAAAGAAAAAAAGAAGGUUGUGGCUUCGGCUAUUCGCUUACUUUCAUAUGUACAAACCAAUAAAAGGUCAUUUGUUGUACCAGAAUUUCAUUCCAAAGAUACAGUUUCCGUUGCUUACUAUAUGUAUAAUUAAUUUCGAUUGCGAUUAUUACUGUUUGAAUUCAUCUCUCGACUGCCUAUGGGGACGUCAAGGUGGACACCAAAAUGGAGGCGUGAUGACCUGCAUCCGGAAAGUGACGUAGCCAUAACGUGCAUGCAAAUAUAAUUUAAUAAAAUAACUUCAAAUGAUCUACGGAAAAAUCGGCAUAGUUUCCUUUGGAAUUAGGUUUUGGCCCCCAAAUUUAAAACCUGCUGAAAAAGUUAUAAUUAUUUCAAAACCACAUCCCCGACACCUAAUGGGUUAUCAACCCUCUACUACAUGCACGUAUACUCCAAUAUACUUACUGGUGGUAUAGCAUACAAUUUCAUACACCAGUGAUAACUAGUGUAAGCUGAAAAUUUAACCAUACACGCUAGUGUAAACUGAAGAUAAAACCAUACAUUAGCUGUAGCUAGUGUAAACUGAAAAAUAUAAUCAUACACUAGCCGUAGCUAGUGUAAGCUGAAUGGGCAUGCUCAUAGUAGGGACAAGAUGACUAUACUGUAGUAUAAAUCAUAAACGUGUAAGCUAAAUAAAAUUAUCAUACACUAUAAGGUCUGGUAUUAAUUCAUAAAAUCUAUUCUUCCCCUAAACGUAACGGAAAUCAUAUGUAUCUAGGCAUGCUUAAUAUUUGAUAAAGAAAAACAUUUCUGAAUAAAUGUCCACUGACACCUCCGGCUAGCUCUCCCUUGAGGAGCCUUGUCUACCAAAAAGGUAAUUUCAAGCAACUUCAAGAGAUAAUUUGACCACGUUGCGAAAGUAUGACACCAAACGGUUGAGACCCAGAAGACAUCCAAGAGUUUUUGGAGAAACAGAACGCUCACUGAAGAUAUGUGUUCUAUUUCUAUAGCACGUUUACCCCAAACAAAACACAGGUUAUGGAAAGGAAAAUAACAUUAAGAAAUGCAAAAGAUUGGGGAGAUGAGAAAGAAGUAGUCUCUGGUCCUGGAAAUAAUGCAUACAAUAUUGCUCUACCAAUUAAACCAAAUCUUAUGACUCUAGUGACAAGCUAGAGAGCCACAAAAACCCCAAGUCCUUGCAGGGAACCCAAAACCAAAGCAAACUACCGAAAUGAACCCGAUUCGAGCCAAGAAAUGACAAAUGCUUAUGUAAAAAUAAAUUAAUCAAAUCAAACAAGAAAUGACAAACCCCGAUUCUAGUUGAAUACAACUAGAAUAAACAAGGAAUCAGGCUAUGCAAUUUCCUACCACAUUUUCACAUCAACGUCAUUGUUAGGGGUUUCAACAACUUCACAGAAUGACCACAAAUCUCAUCUCCGGCAUUCAGACAGAAAAAUCGAAUAAAAGUUCGAAAUUAAGAAUCGAUCCCAAAUCUCAUUUUUACCUCUUGGUUCGAGGUCCAAUUCCUGCGAUAUUUGGCCGGAAGUUUGCCGGAAAACCCGUGGUCACCGUUUCUUUUGAUCUGAAAUUGAGGAAAUGCCGCUUCGAAUUUGUAGAAACUGACUUGGGGGUUGGAAAGAGGACGGGAAGAGAGAAUUCUGGAUGUGUAAUUUGACGGCCGUUGGUGACCGAUGUUAGCAGACGUCGCUGUUGCAAUUACAUCAAACCUUCAACUCCACCACUUCAUCUUCUUCGUCAAGACCUAGAUGGACGACAACGUCGUACACAGAGUCUUCCAAGAAGGAGGCCAUGGCUAUUUCCAACAAUGACCCUCCACUUUCUCUUCCUCCGACGUCGUUUCAUUGAUUUUGAGAUCUGGGUUUUGUUUGCGGUGUGAGGUAUUUUAAAAUCUGGCAUCGUGGAGCUUGCUGGAGAAGAAGAUGUGGGCUGAUAUUGUUCGAAUUCAGGGACCCCCAACUCGAAUUGUAAAGCUUGGUUAUGGUUUUGGGAAGGGGUGUGGGCUGGCGAGCGCUGUAAUGAGAACCGAGUCGUCCGAAUCCAAGCAUUUCUUCUUCAAUCCCGAUUCUUCCCAAAGAACCACAACUAAGGUCGACACAAUCCCACCGUUGGAUAGGAGCUGCACCCAAUUCCUUUGCCCACCCUCUUUGAAAUCGGUAUCGCCGCGUCGCUUCUUGCCUUCCCGGACCUUGGUCAGCUUCGACAAUGUAAAGAACACCCGCAACAGAGCUCCACCAUGGCCAGGUGGGUGGGAAGAACAAGCGAGAGAAGAAACGACAUUUUUCGUUUUUCAUUUUUUUUCUUAAUUUUUUUAAUAUUUAAUUAUUUUUAUUUGCCACGUCAUACAAAGAUGUGGACUCUAUAUUUACUAUGUCAACAUUUAAAGGUCAAAUUAACGGUUUGAUUGACGGAUAUAUGAAAUUGAAAUAAAUUAUUAGUAAUUAUAUGAGUUUGAAAUAUUUAUAAAUGUUGUAUGAGGUUCUAAUUGCAUUUUUGAUAUGAGUAAUUAUAUGAGUAAUUAUAUGAGCAGAUGUGAUAAAAUGUAAUUUAACCUAAAAAUAAAAUGAAAAAUAAAAAAUAAAGGUAAACUGAAAGCAUAGUUAAUCACCCAUAAUAAUAGGUAACAUUAUCAUAUUGCCCUUUGUUGAUGCACAAAACCGGAGGUUUUGGAACAACGUAAAUCCGACCGUGAAUCUACAUAAAAUGUAAAUAACACAAGAGUUAUCGUGGUUCACCCCAAUGUUUGGGCUACGUCCACACUGAUUGUAUUAUAUUUCUCUGAGAAGUGAGGGGGAGAGAGAGCUCUAGAAGUGAGAGCGUUGAAAGGGGUGAGAAGGCUCCAGAAAUGGCCUCUAAGAGUGAGAGUGAGGCCUCCCUUAAUUGUUAGGGUGAGGAGUCCUUUUAUAGAAUAAGGGCUCCUCACUUAUUACAUAUUUGCCCCUUCCUUUAUCACAUAAUUAUAUUUAAGUCCCCCGAGUAUUUCUACGAUAUCUAAAUACGAGGCCCUAAAUAUGGUAUAAACAGUAGUCCCCUAAGUCUUCAGUCAAGAGAGUCUUUUGGCUGGAGACUUGAAAUUCAGUCCAUGUGUGGGCCGAAGUAACUAGAUGUCGUCUUGAACUGGUACUUGAUAUGAGGCGGUGCUCAAAGUGAAAUGAUGCUCAACUAUAAGUAGCACAUGUAGCGAGGCUGCUCGGCUUGUGGCUUAUGUUGCCUUAGUUAGCUCGGCUUGUGGCGCUUGAAGGUGAGGGGGUCCCUUUUAUAGAAUAAGGGCUCGCUCCUCAAUACAUAAAUGAUGGGCUAGAGUUGAUGCUCGCGGCGAGGCAGUUGCUCAGUAGGCGGCGAUGCUCUCUAAUGGUGGUGAGUGGAUCCUUUUUAUAGAAUAAGAGCUCGUUCCUCAAUACAUAAGUGAUGGGUUAGGAGUAAUGCUCGCGGCGAGGCGGUUGCUCAGCUAGCGGCGUUGCUCUCUAAUGAAGGUGAGGGAGUCCCUUUUAUAGAAUAAGGGCUCGCUCCUCAAUACAUAAGUGAUGGGCUAGGAGUGAUGUUUGCGGCAAGGCGGUUGCUCAGCUGGCGGCGUUGCUCUCUAAUGAAGGUGAGGGAGUCCCUUUUAUAAAAUAAGGGCUCGUUCCUCAGUACAUGAAUAAUGGGUGCUCUCUAAUGAAAGUGAGGGAGUCCCUUUUAUAGAAUAAGGGCUCGCUCCUUAAUACAUAAAUAAUGGGCUAAGUCCCCCAAAUAUUUUUCAUGAGGCCCAAUAUAUGGUACAUAAUGUAGUCCCCCAAGUCUUCGGUCAAUAGAGUCUGUUGGCUGGAGACUUCAAAUUGAAUCCAUGUAUGGGCCGAAGUGGUGGUUGUUCGGAGGCGGUAUUUGUAUACCCUGCACUGAAGCUUUGUAGGUGAAGCUUUGCAAGUGAAGCUUUGAAGCUAGAGCUCUGUAAAUGAAGCUUUCGAAGCUGGAGCUUUUAUAAAUGAAGCUUUUGAAGCUAGAGCUCUGUAAAUGAAGCUUUUGAAGUUGAUUGACAUGAGUGAUGCUCAUGAAUGUUUAUGUUGAUUGACAUGAGUGAUGCUCAUGAAUGUUGUCAUGAGUGAUGCUCAUGAAUGUUAACAUGAGUGAUGCUCAUGAAUGUUGACAUGAAUGAUGGUCAUGAAUGUUUAUGUAUGAUUGUCAUGAGUGAUGCUCAUGAAUGUUUAUGUAUGAAUGACAUGAGUAAUGCUCAUGUAUAAUUUGGAAUACUGGGCGUACUUUUGAUCACCUAGUUGGUGGCAUGAAGAAGAGUAGGGGUUGUACAUUUCAUCACCUGGUUGGUGGCAUGAAUGGCUAGUUGCCAAAUGAUAUUAGAGUACGGGUUGUACAUUUCAUCACCUGGUUGGUGGUAAAAGCGGCAGGUUGCCGAAUAAUUUUGGAGUACUGGGCGUACUUUUGAUCACCUGGUUGGUGGUAAUAGCGGCAGGUUGUCGAAUAAUUGUGGAGUACUGGACGUACUUUUGAUCGCCUGGUUGGAGCUAUUUUGGGCUUAUGGGCCUUCGCCCUUUACACAACAUUCCAGCCCAUUUAUUUUGGGCUUUGUCGUUUUUUUUUUUUUUUUUUAUACCCUCUGAUGGGGUUUAUACAGAUGUCUUCGAAAGAUAAGAAAAAUAAAUUACAUCAUACAAGAAAAGGAAAUCACUAGCAGGGUGUUUUAUUCCUUGAUUUUGCUUUCUCUUUUGCUUUCGCUUUCUUGGAUGACCGCUCUUUUUAGGAAUAAUGGUGCUCGGUGUCUUGUCAAUCCAACGUCCCAAGGUACUGACAUAAGGAGAUGCUGGGACCUUGUAAUGGGAUGGUAACAGCUUGACAUCAUUAGACAUCUGAAUUCCUUUAUCAUCGUGGUCGCGGGACCACUUUGCAGCUGUGUGUUUAAAGAAACCUGCUUUACCUUUACUGCUUUUGUUUCUGUUUCUUUUGACAAGCUGAUGGACGGACAGGAUGGCAUGGGUCGGAUUUAGCACAUGCGAAAAGUUAUUCCUUUUGUCCAAGUGGGUUGUUGAAGAUAACCCAUUACUGCAUUAUUCUCAGGGCUGUGAUGAUGAUGCAGUUGAAGAUUGUGCAGAGAUACGGAAGACCAAGAAGAAGACUUGGCUCUCAGCUUUGUACGAAAUGGGAUUAUCACUGCAAUACGCAAGCUUUGCAGUAGAAACAUAUAAAACUCCCAUGACUGGACUGAUGUGGACAAGUAACAUGCAAAUGAAUUUUGAAGUUGCUCCUCGGGAGUUGUCUUAAAGGUUGAUCGAAAAAUCUUCUCGUAACCACCUUCUGCUAGAACCUUUGUUCCUAGUGCAAUUCUUCCCAUGGCAGCAUCAGCAAAACUGGGGCUUGUUUUUAAGAGCUGCCACGUGUUUCCGGCGAGGUCCUCCGCCUUCUUCGUAGGUUCCCCCACCGACUUCCUCCACCUCCCAAACACGUUCCGCACAGUCUCCACCGAAUCUUUGAAUGAGAGAGAUUGUGAGAGCGUCGGGGAGGGAGCCACGUAAGUAUUGGAUCCCUGAUGGGAAGACUGAUCCGACGUGGCAGCGUGCGACUUAGACAUCAAUUCUGGGUUGGUGCUUCUUCACGCUGUUUACGAACCUAUUGGAGCCAUCCCUCUUCUUCGCCACCACUCGCUGGACGGAGCACGGUCAAGGACUUGCCGAUAUUCUCCUUCCCGCUUCCAUUGUCUCAUCUCAGAUUCAUUCUUCUUUGCUGCCAAAGCAGCUUGUAUGCCUUGCUCAUGCUUCAUACUUGUGUACAUCUGAAGAUGGUUUUUAACGUGUGAUAUGUUAAGGCCCUUCACAUUCAUGGUCUGUAAAACCAUCUUUGGAGUGGCUCUUUGAUCUCCGCCAAGCCUUUCAACCGAGUAGAUGACGACGGGGAUGAUUUCGACAAGCUGCCGAUCAUCUGACGAUGACUGGCGCGGGCCGGAAAAUGAUGGUGGUAGCCGUGGACGACUAGAUGCUUCCCUUGAGCUGUGCUUCUAUUAGGAGUAACACCAUCAUCGUCGUCAAAUGAUGACGAGUGGGGUUUCUGACCACCUGCUCCGAGUAGCUCUCUCCGUGUGUAGAUUCCCGCUCAUGUGAUGACUGGGGACCAUCGAAGCCGGCGGCGGCGGGUACCUCAGAUUAUCCGUGGAUUUUUUAGAGAGGUUGAAAAGACAGGGAUUUGAGGAGAGAGAGAGAGAGUCCUCAUUUCGCUAUCUUGAGCUCUAAAAUCCAUGGAUUUUUUUAUAUUAGUUUGUAAGAAAAAUGAGAGAUAGAAACAGCAUCUUCAGCAUGACUGCUUGAACAUCUCUAUGGUUUUAGAGAGAGAGAGAGAGUGGUGUUCUUGGUUUUUUGUGAUUUUUGCAGAUUCACAGUGGAGGUGAAAAAAAUGAAAGAGAACCGACACAACUUUUCGUAUCGAUUCCCACAGACGGCGCCAAAUGUUGAUGCACAAAACCGGAGGUUUUGGAACAACGUAAAUCCGACCGUGAAUCUACAUAAAAUGUAAAUAACACAAGAGUUAUCGUGGUUCACCCCAAUGUUUGGGCUACGUCCACACUGAUUGUAUUAUAUUUCUCUGAGAAGUGAGGGGGAGAGAGAGCUCUAGAAGUGAGAGCGUUGAAAGGGGUGAGAAGGCUCCAGAAAUGGCCUCUGAGAGUGAGAGUGAGGCCUCCCCUAAUUGUUAGGGUGAGGAGUCCUUUUAUAGAAUAAGGGCUCCUCACUUAUUACAUAUUUGCCCCUUCCUUUAUCACAUAAUUAUAUUUAAGUCCCCCGAGUAUUUGUACGAUAUCUAAAUACGAGGCCCUAAAUAUGGUAUAAACACCCUUAUACAUUUUUGAUAUGAUAUUGCCCUUAUACUCUAUAGUUAUGUAUAAGCUCUAUUUUAACUUUGAAUUUUGUUUUGCUUGCGCUUACUCUUAAGUAUUAACAAAUACUACAAAAAAAUGUUGUGAUAAUACGGCAUAUGUGUCACUAGCUCAAAGGUUAACCGAAGUCAACACUUUCUCUUCUAAAGACAUUUUCGUAUAUAAGUGAUUAGUGACUACAAGAUUGUUCUUUAACUAGAUUUCUCGUAUUUCAUAUGAGUAUACGCAUUCUACUAUAUACUGAUGAAAUUGAGGUUCCAUCAUGAAACCAAUUGGCAAUAUGAGGGGUAGCCCGAUACCUUUGAGUUCAGAUGGAUUGUAAAAGUAAUGACUACUAGAUUGUUCUUUUACUAGAUUUCUCGUAUUUCAUAUGAGUUUACGCAUUCUACUAUAUACUGAUGAAAUUGAGGUCCACUAUAAAAUCAAUUGGCAAUAUGAGGAGUAGCCUAAGAUCAUAUAAGCACAUAGCAAACAUUAUCCCUCACCGAUGUGGGACAACUCUCAACACACCCCCGCAUGUGUGGCUGAUAACUCUCAACACACCAUCGCACGUGUGACGGAUUUUCAAGCCUACACGUGGACAACAACUGGGUGACGUGGAGCGAGUGUGGCCGUUGGGCUUCACACAUGGACAACCUUGCUGUGAUACCAUGAUGAAAUUGAGAUUCCACCAUAAAACCAAUUAGCAAUAUGGGGAGUAACCCAAGAUCAUACAAGUACAUAACAAACAUUGUCCCUCACUGAUGUGGGACAACUCUCAACAUGCCCCGCACAUGUGACGGAUAAGUCUCAACAUAUACGUGAUCUGCCUAAUUCGGCAUUCCAGUAAGAAGCAAAAUGAUAAGAACAAUCGUGACAAUUACAUGAAAAGAAAGAAGCUAAUUAGCAAGUAAUCAUUCGAAUAAGCUGAACUCUCGGAAACAGGAACCUAAACACCACCAAGAUGGUAUCUGUUGUAACAUGCCCAUAGUAAGAUCAUAGUUUGAAGUAAACCACAUCAAAAGUGAGAGAGCGACUCCAGAAAACAAUUAUAGUCAUGUGCUUGCACUUCAAUGCAGAAACAGAAUAAAAUAAAAUCCUAGAGUUUUCAGACCAUCAUUAAACACCCAAGCAGAAGAAACAUUCACAAUCUAGCAAAUGGGUGUUCAUAAUUUCAAGCAGAAACACCAAAAAUCAAAGAAAAUAAUGAAUAUUAAAUUCAGAAUUUUUUUGUACUCAUGUAUCUCCCUUGAUCUUGAACCAAGUCUCAGCGCAUUGCUUAUGCGCAACACCCAAAUCCCCCUUGCAAAAACACCCCAAGUCAAUUGGGACCCCAGAGGCAGAGUCGGUCCUACCACCUCCCUCCAAACCCAAGUUGCAAAUCCUGCAGUUGUUUUCAACUUUACUCAAAUGCACCACCUUCUUCACCUCCAAAAGCCCACUCUCCAAAUCCACCUCAUUCACUGAACAAUCCGACCCACAGGACUUUCUCCAGACAUUGCUGGAGUCAGACAUUGAGUGCCAAGACUGGUUAUCAUCGGAGUCAUCCGAGACCGACGCACCGCUGUCUCCUGUGAUCGAACGAUGGUGGUCGGUUUUCUCGGGAGCUGACAUUCGUGAAACCCGGACAGAGAAAUGGCGUGAAAUGGUGAAGUGUUAAAGUUGCGGCACUCGGACAUCAAACAUGGUGGGGUUAUGGAGUAGGUGGAGAUGUUUUUAAUAUAUCCUCAAUCAAAAUAUCAAAGUCUCCAUCCUCCCUCGAUCACUAUCUUUAUUUAUGUGUCAGUUUCGAACAAUGACUAAGGGUGCAUUUGUUGUACUGGACUGUCUCGGAUUGGACUAACUUCAAGGGCUAAGCUGGACUGAUUUAGUGAAGUAUUUGGUGCAGUGUCGGACUAAAAAGCAUGACUCAUGUAUUAUAUUAUUAAAUUUAUAUUUACAAUAUUUUAUCAUUAAUUUAAUCUAUAUAUACUAAUAUUUUAUUAUUAAAUUAUCAUUUUCCCUUCUAGAAUCUCUUAAUUUUGUGUCCGCCCACUACAUCCUCUCAUCUUUCCCUGCCAUUUCAUAUUCCUCUCAUUUUUUUGUCCACCCACUGCAUCCUUUCCCUCUCUUAUUUCUCUGCCAUUUCAUCUCCCUCUCUCAUUUUUUUUGUCCGCCCACUGCAUCCAUCCCCUCUCCUUUUUCUCUGCCAUUUUAUCUGUGCCACUGUCUCUUUCCUCUUUCCCUUUUCUGGGUUCAAUUUUUCUGGGUUUUCUGGUUAUGGGAAGCAGGGAAAAAGGAGAUGUGAGGGGCAAAGCGGAGUAGAGGUAGCAAUGGAAGAGGUCAAGGAGGAUGGAGCCUGAAGUCAUUGCUGUUGAAAAUUGAAGUCUAGGAGGAAAGAGUCCAAUCGGAGGGCACGACUGAUGAGCUUGGUAUGAGCAGGGUGCGACCGAUGAAGCUCUUGAGUUCUCCGAUUGAAGUUCGAAUCAAGGUCUUUGUUCAUGAUUUAGGGUUGGUAAUGAAAAGAGAGGGAGAGAACGCGAGCAAAGAGAAGAGUAAGGGACGCAAGCAGAGGGCGACGAAGGGAUUAGCUAGUCCUAUGGUUCUCGACGUCUCUCUCUAAGACCGUCUAGCACGGUCCUUAGUCGAGGCAAGUCUGGCUUACUCCCACUAAAGCUAGUCUUGUGAAGUAACAAACAUGAGACUGGACUAACUAUUACUCUAGUCUAGUCCAAAGAGGGCUAGUGAAGGGAAACAAACAUGGCAUUAGCGAACAAGAGAAUGAGGAGUUCCGAAGCAAAUGCGAAUUAUGAGGAUGGUGGGUGGGGGCAGACUGCUCCGAUCAGAGAUAUUUGUAGGAUUACAAUAAAAGACUUGCAAUCUUUUAAGGCUGCCAGUUGUGUUACACUCACAGUCAGACACAUAUACACAGAGACAAAACACGAGUUAGACUUCCAAAAGACUUUGAGUUAGAGUUAGUAAAUUUAUGUAGGAUGGUUCGAGAUUUCAAAUUGAAAAUGAGAUUUCUACUUUUUAAUUUUAAUCUUAAUGUUCAUCUUAAAUUGCCACUUAGUACUACAAUUUAGUGAUAUUUCUCUUCAUUUGUAAGUAAGAGGUCUUAAGUUCAAUUAUAAUCAAAAGCGAAUUUAAACCAAAUUAUUGCUAGCACAUUGUAAGGGUGAGUUCAUCCCUUUUUUUUUAGUGAAACCCAGACAGAGAAAUGGCUUGAAAUGGUGAAGUUUUAAAGUUGCGGCACUCAUACAUUAAACAUGAUGGGGUUAUGGAGUAGGUGGAGAUGUUUUUAAUAUAUCCUCAAUCAAAAUAUCAAAGUCUCCCUCCUCCCUCGAUCACUGUCUUUAUUUAUGUGUCAGUUUCGAACAGUGGCUUUAGUGAACGAGAGAGGAAGGAGUUCCGAGCAAAUGCGAAUUAUGAGGAUGGUGGUGGGGGCAAACUGCUCCGAUCAGAGAUAUAUUUGUAGGACCACAAUAAAAGACUUGCAAUCUUUUAAGGCUGCCAGUUGUGUUACACUCACAGACAGAGACAAAACACGAGCUAGACUUCCAAAAGACUUUGAGUUAGAGUUAGUAAAUUUACGUAGGAUGGUUCUGUAUGAGAUUUCAAAUUGAAAAUGAGAUUUCUACUUUUUAAUUUAGACGAUCUGCACCAAAAAUUCUGAUCUCAAUGUUUAUCUUAAAUUGCUACUUAAUACUACAAUUUAGUGAUAUUUCUCUUCAUUUGUAAGUAAGAGGUCUUAAGUUCAAUUCUCGUCAAAAACGAAUUUAAACCAAAUUAUUGCUAGCACAUUGUAAGGGUGAGCUCAUCCCCUUUUUUUUAGUGUAAAUAAUAUCACUUGUUAAAAAAAUAAAAAUAAAAUAAAACCUUUUUGAAGUAUUCUUUUAAAAGAAUAAUACUUGCAUUUCUCCUUUGAAAAUGAGCUCAUUCUCCCCUACUUGCAAAUAGCAUAUCUUCAUUGUAGCAAUUUCAUAAUUAUAACCGUUCGAUUUCUUAAUUUUCCUUUAAAGAUCAUCACUUUCAUUGGAAAUGGAAAUCAUAUAGUCAUUCAUAUGCCACUCCGAUCAUUUUUUUUUUUUGAAGGUACGCAUUUUGAUGGAAUAAAUUCAUCCCACAAAGAAAAUGCAAAGUAUUAUUAUUUUUAAAACCUGAAAUUGACAAAAAUGACUUAUGAUUGUAAACAAUGAUGAAAACUGAGACCAAAUUGGUUAAAUCGAAAACGUUAACAUUGAAAUUUUACGUCACAGAAUGUAAAAUAAAGAUUACAAAAUCUGAUUAGUUCAUUUUUCUUUCAGCAGAAUUAUGCCAAUUUCGUUUUUGCAAUUGCCGUGAACCUCAUACAUUCAAUAACGAUAAAAGCCACAAAUAAUGCAUCCAUCUACAGCUCCUUCGUAUCAUUACCCUGUGGAAAGAAAAGUUGCUCGAAGUCUUGAGAAGCAACAUAACGAACAAUCAUACCGCGGCAUUUGGGUGCUCCAUUAGAAAUCGGUGGGACUACGACCAGAAUCGUAGGUAUAUGUAUUUGAAAAAAUGUCUUGCUACAGUUAAAGGGACAAGUACUCAAAAUCGAAUACAUAUUCGUGAUAUAACUUUGGCACUCUUAUUUCUGAUACAUAUUUGUGAGUGAGCAGAUAACAUAGAUAAAAUCUUUAAAAAAAAUCAGAAUUUCAACCAGAGAUUUCAAUGGCUCUUAUUUGUGAUACAUUUAUUAAGUAGAUGAUUUGUCCUAAAACAAACACAACCUCAAACAACUAAAGUUUAGAGAACAAACUCUGAGUAUCAAGAGUACUUGACUCAUCUCACUCUUUGCAUAAAACAUUUAAAAAACCAAAUGCCAAUUAUGAAAGUGGAAAACUGAAGUACUUGGCAAGGUUUUUCUUUUUAUCCAGACAUUCAAGAUGGUAAACAAUAUUUUUGAAAUACCAUUAAAAAAACAGAGUAUACUUUUAGGCAAAUAUUGUUCAAAAACCCAAAUAUAAUUCAUGAUACCUCAACAACAACAACAACAACAAAGCCUUUUCCCACUAAGUGGGGUCGGCUAUAUGAAUCCUAGAACGCCAUUGCGCUCGGUUUUGUAUCAUGUCCUCCGUUAGAUCCAAGUACUCUAAGUCUUUUCUAAGAGUCUCUUCCAAAGUUUUCCUAGAUCUUCCUCUACCCCUUCGGCCCUGAACCUCUGUCCCGUAGUCACAUCUUCGAACCGGAGCGUCAUUCGGCCUUCUUUGCACAUGUCCAAAUCACCGGAGCCGAUUUUCUCUCAUCUUUCCUACAAUUUCGGCUACUCCUACUUUACCUCGGAUAUCCUCAUUCCCAAUCUUAUCCUUUCUCGUGUGCCCACACAUCCCACGAAGCAUCCUCAUCUCCGCUACACCCAUUUUGUGUACGUGUUGAUGCUUCACCGCCCAACAUUAUGUGCCAUACAACAUCGCUGGCCUUAUUGCCGUCCUAUAAAAAUUUUCCCUUGAGCUUCAGUGGCCUACGACGGUCACACAACAACACGCCGGAUGCAUUCUUACACUUCAUCCAUCCAGCUCGUAUUCUAUGGUUGAGAUCUCCAUCUAAUUCUCCGUUCUCUUGCAAGAUAGAUCCUAGGUAGCGAAAACGGUCGCUUUUUGUGAUCUUCGCUAGAUUGCUCCGGUCAUUAGUGUGGAUAAGUAUAUAAAUAGAGAUAGAGAUAGGAAAGCAAAACACAAGAUGUACGUGGUUCACCCAGAUUGGCUACGUCCACGGAAUAGAAGAGUUCUCAUUAAUUGUGAAGGGUUUACACAAGUACAUAGGUUCAAGCUCUCCUUUAGUGAGUACAAGUGAAUGAUUUAGUACAAAUGACAUUAGGAAAUAUUGUGGGAGAAUGAUCUCGUAAUCACGAAACUUCUAAGUAUCGGAGUGUGGUGUCGUCUUGACUUGCCUUAUCUGUCUCAUAGGUAGAUGUGGCAUCUUCUCUGGAAGUACUCUUCCUCCAUCCAGGGGUGGUAUCUUUAACUGGUGGAGAUGCACAAGGUAAUGUAUCAAUUUCACUUGAAGCUUACUUGUAGUUUCAGGCUUGGUCAAGCGCGAUACAAACCAUGUAGUAGGAGUCCCCCAAGUCGCCGAGCUAGGGGGUCUGCUGAAAGAGGUGACAGACAAGGUAAGCAAUCAGAGCUCCGACUGAUUGUUCACCUUCUCCCCAUCUUGCAGCAGCAUGAAGGAUAAAGAGAAGAAAAAUGAGAAGAGAUGAUAUGAGAUACUUUUGCUUUUGAAGAAGUAACUUUCCACAGGCUUAUUCUUGAACUGAGCUGGAGGGUUUUCUGGUUUCCUCCAGAGUAUAAGGCCGACUGAAGAAUUUGAGGGUCAAAACAAGUCCAUCAAAUCUAGAGUACGUUCCACCCUGCUGAUAUGGGAUACUUUUGCUUUUGACAGAGUAAUGGAUGUAUCGGCACGUGUGCUGUUACGCUUGUCUCCACAUGCUUCCUUGUAUCCUUCGCACUUGCCCUAUCUGUUCCUCAAGCAGAUGCGGAAUCUUCCCUGGAAACAUAAGAUGUUGAAGAUGAGUACUCGAGAGCAAUGCCAGGUAAGUAAUCAGGUAAGGGGUUCCAGGCAGUCAGUUCCUGGCUGGAAGCUUGAUUCCAAGUGCUGACUGAUUGCUCUCUUUCUCCUUGUCUUGCAGGUAAAAACAAGGCCAAAGGAAAAGACAGGGAAAAAGCAUGAUAUGGGAUACUCUUGCUUUUAACCCUGAUGAUAUGAGAUAUUCUUGCUCUAGUAUAGCUUGUUUGCAGAGGUAUUAUCGGGGGGAAAGAAAGCUGAAUAUUUCGAAAGGCUUCGUUGGGAGUGCCUUCUCAGAUAUGAUGAAGGGUUGAGCAUUUUUGCAGGUCUGCCUGUCCGUUGGGGAUGGAGGUCGACAUAUAUAGGAGUCUCCCUAACAACAAGUAGUAAUGAUAUUCCUUUACCCUGCUUGGUCAUAGCACGGUAGUGGGAGCUGCCAGUUUCACAUGUUUUAACUCUGUCAGAGCACUUUGAAAAAGUGGUCUGUGGUAUCUGGCUCUCGAGAUUCGGAGAACGAUGCCUCUUCGAUUUUUGAGAAAGCAAUCAUGCUGGGGGUAUGGCUCUCAAGAUUCGGAGAGCAGUGUCUCUUCGAUUUUUAAGGAAGUAAUCAUGUUGGGAGUCUGGCUCUCGAGAUUCGGAGGGCGGUGCCUCUUCGAUUUUGGAGCAAGCAAUCUUGUUGGGAGUGUUGUCUCGAAUGUGAGUAAAGGUUGGGCAUGUUUGCUAGUCUACCUUGCCACGAAGCACAAAGGUUGACACACAGGGACUUUCCAAUUAUCCAGCAAUGGUACUGUUCCUUUACCCUCUCUUCGAUUUUGAGAAAGUAAUCAUGUUGGGAGUCUGGCUCUCGAGAUUCGGAGGACGGUGCCUCUUCGAUUUUGGAGCAAGCAAUCUUGUUGGGAGUGUUUUCUCGAAUGUGAGUAAAGGUUGGGCAUGUUUGCUAGUCUACCUUGCCACGAAGCACAGAGGUUGACACACAGGGACUUUCCAAUUAUCCAGCAGUGGUACUGUUCCUUUACCCUUGUGUGGUAAUAAUAUGGUAGCUAGACCUUCAAAAUUUAUGUGUCUAAACUUUGUUAGUGCUGUUUCUUUGCUAUUCUUUUACCUUUCUUGGUCAGAGCGAUGUAGUGGGAGCUGCAAGCUUCACGUGCUCAACUUUGGCAGAGAACUUUGGCAAAGUUAUCUGUGGUACCCAUGAGCUAUUGUUGCGUGUGGGAAGUGGGUGAUUGAACAGUAAGAUUCAUGUGCUUUCUACUUCACCAGAAGUCUUCGACAGAAUGCCCAUAAUUUCUGCAAAGCUGAGUGUGCGUGUGACAGGUGCUGACAAGGCUAGAAAAGUAGGUGCCUCUUCGAUUUCUGAGAUUGGCCCUCGUGGUCUCUGAGCAGCCCAGCUUUUGAGAAAGCGAGCGCCUCUUCGAUUGAUUCGGAGAACGAUGCCUCAUCGAUUUUUGAGAAAGCAAUCAUGCUGGGGGUCUGGCUCUCGAGAUUCGGGGAGCAGUGUCUCUUCGAUUUUUGAGAAAGUAAUCAUGUUGGGAGUCUGGCUCUCGAGAUUCGGAGGGCGGUGCCUCUUCGAUUUUGGAGCAAGCAAUCUUGUUGGGAGUGUUUUCUCGAAUGUGAGUAAAGGUUGGGCAUGUUUGCUAGUCUACCUUGCCACGAAGCACAGAGGUUGACACACAGGGACUUUCCAAUUAUCCAGCAAUGGUACUGUUCCUUUACCCUCUCUUCGAUUUUUAAGAAAGUAGUCAUGUUGGGAGUCUGGCUCUCGAGAUUCGGAGGACGGUGCCUCUUCGAUUUUAGGAGCAAGCAAUCUUAUUGGGAGUGUUUUCUCGAAUGUGAGUAAAGGUUGGGCAUGUUUGCUAGUCUACCUUGCCACGAAGCACAGAGGUUGACACACAGGGACUUUCCAAUUAUCCAGCAGUGGUACUUGUUCCUUUACCCUUGUGGGUAAUAAUAUGGUAGCUAGACCUUCAAAAUUUAUGGGUCUAAACUUUGUUAGUGCUGUUUUCUUUGCUAUUCUUUUACCCUUCUUGGUCAGAGCGAUGUAGUGGGAGCUGCAAGCUUCACGUGCUCAACUUUGGCAGAGAACUUUGGCAAAGUUAUCUGUGGUACCCAUGAGCUAUUGUUGCGUGUGGGAAGUGGGUGAUUGAACAGUAAGAUUCAUGUGUUUUCUACUUCCCCAGAAGUCUUCGACAGAAUGCCCAUAAUUUCCGCAAAGCUGAGUGUGCGUGUGACAGGUGCUGACAAGGCUGGAAAAGUAGGUGCCUCUUCGAUUUCUGAGAUCGGCCCUCGUGGUCUCUGGGGAGCCCAGCUUUUGAGAAAGCGAGCGCCUCUUCGAUUUCUGAGAUCGGCCUUCGUGGUCUUUGAGCAGCCCAACUUUUGAGAAAGCAAACGCCUCUUCGAUUUCUGAGAUCAACCCUCGUGAUCUCUAAGCAGCCCAGCUUUUUGAGAAAGCAAACGCCUCUUCGAUUUCUGAGCAGGCGCCUCUUCGAUUUCUGAAGCUCCGUCGAGUGCAGAUUUUUAUAGGGGCUGGCAUUAAGUUCCAAAGCACACUUGAAUCUCCACCAGUAGAAGCUUCAUUCUUGCACUUCUAAGAUCUUGAUUUGUCCGACCUCUUCUCUCUUCAACACCUUUGAAAAUGUCUGGCCCCUCCGACCGUCGUUUUGACUUGAACCUUGUUGAAGAGGCAGCCCCGCCUUCUCCAGACAACAUAUGGCGCCCAUCCUUCGUCUCCCCUACUGGUCCUCUUACCGUUGGGGAUUCCGUGAUGAAGAAUGAUAUGACCGCUGCGGUGGUGGCCAGGAACCUUCUCACUCCCAAAGAUAACAGACUACUUUCCAAACGGUCUGAUGAGUUAGCUGUUAAGGAUUCGCUGGCUCUCAGUGUUCAGUGUGCAGGUUCUGUGUCUAAUAUGGCCCAACGCCUAUUUGCUCGAACCCGCCAAGUUGAAUCAUUGGCGGCUGAAGUGAUGAGUCUCAAACAGGAGAUUAGAGGGCUCAAGCAUGAGAAUAAACAGUUGCACCGGCUCGCACAUGACUAUGCUACAAACAUGAAGAGGAAGCUUGACCAGAUGAAGGAAACUGAUGGUCAGGUUUUACUUGAUCAUCAGAGAUUUGUGGGUUUGUUCCAAAGGCAUUUAUUGCCUUCGUCUUCUGGGGCUGUACCGCGUAAUGAAGCUCCAAAUGAUCAACCUCUGAUGCCUCCUCCUUCUAGGGUUCUGUCCAGUACUGAGGCUCCAAAUGAUCCCCCUCCGGUGCCUUCUCUUUUCUGGGGCUCUACCGACUGCUGAGACUUCUCCUAAGCAACCUUUGUGAAGGCUCCCUCUUGUGUGUUUAUUUUGACUCAUGUAUAUGUACAUAUUUGUAGCUUAUCGGGGAUAUCAAUAAAUAAGCUUUCCUUCAUUUCAACGUAUUGUGUUAAAUACACCAAAGCCUUCUUCGCUAAGUUCUUUGAAUUUUCUUUUGUUGAAGCUUGUAUGUUGAAGCUUUCUGAGUGGAGCAUGUAGGUUGGGGUAGUGUUCCCUUAAUUUCCCGAGUGAGGAAAACUUCUCGGUUGGAGACUUGGAAAAUCCAAGUCACUGAGUGGGAUCGGCUAUAUGAAUCUUAGAACGCCAUUGUGCUCGAUCCUGUGUCAUGUCCUUCGUUAGAUCCAAGUACUCUAAGUCUUUUCUUAGAGUCUCUUCCAAAGUUUUCCUAGGUCUUCCUCUACCCCUUCGGCCCUGAACCUCUGUCCCAUAGUCGCAUCUUCUAAUCGGAGCGUCAGUAGGCCUUCUUUGCACAUGUCCAAACCACCGUAACCGAUUUUCUCUCAUCUUUCCUUCAAUUUCGGCUACUCCUACUUUACCCCGGAUAUCCUCAUUCCUAAUCUUAUCCUUUCUCGUGUGCCCACACAUCAUCCAACGAAGCAUCCUCAUCUCCGCUACACCCAUUUUGUGUACGUGUUGAUGUUUCACCGCCCAACAUUCUGUGCCAUACAGCAUCGCCGGCCUUAUUGCCGUCCUAUAAAAUUUUCCCUUGAGCUUCAGUGGCAUACGGCGGUCACACAACACGCCGGAUGCACUCUUCCACUUCAUCCAUCCAGCUUGUAUUCUAUGGUUGAGAUCUCCAUCUAAUUCUCCGUUCUUUUGCAAGAUAGAUCCUAGGUAACGAAAACGGUCGCUCUUUGGUAUUUCUUGAUCUCCGAUCCUCACCCCUAACUCGUUUUGGCCUCCAUUUGCACUGAACUUGCACUCCAUAUAUUCUGUCUUUGAUCGGCUUAGGCGAAGACCUUUAGAUUCCAACACUUCUCUCCAAAGGUUAAGCUUUGCAUUUACCCCUUCCUGAGUUUCAUCUAUCAACACUAUAUCGUCUGCGAAAAGCAUACACCAAGGAAUAUCAUCUUGAAUAUGUCCUGUUAACUCAUCCAUUACCAACGCAAAAAGGUAAGGACUUAAGGAUGAGCCUUGAUGUAAUCCUACAGUUAUGGGAAAGCUUUCGGUUUGUCCUUCAUGAGUUCUUACGGCAGUCUUUGCUCCUUCAUACAUAUCCUUUAUAGCUUGGAUAUAUGCUACUCGUACUCCUUUCUUCUCUAAAAUCCUCCAAAGAAUGUCUCUUGGGACCCUAUCAUACGCUUUUUCCAAAUCUAUAAAGACCAUGUGUAAAUCCUUUUUCCCAUCUCUAUAUCUUUCCAUCAAUCUUCGUAAGAGAUAGAUUGCCUCCAUGGUUGAGCGCCCUGGCAUGAACCCGAAUUGGUUAUCCGAAACCCGUGUCUCUUGCCUCAAUCUAUGCUCAAUGACUCUCUCCCAGAGCUUCAUUGUAUGACUCAUUAGCUUAAUACCCCUAUAGUUCAUGCAAUUUUGUACGUCGCCCUUAUUCUUGUAGAUAGGCACCAAAGUGCUCGUUCGCCACUCAUUUGGCAUCUUCUUCGUUUUCAAAAUCCUAUUGAAAAGGUCAGUGAGCCAUGUUAUACCUUUGGAUUCAUUUUCAUAAGGAUUCAACGUGAUCAUGGAGUGCUGGCUGUCGACUACCUGACGCCCUCCCCCUCCUCCUUUAUCCGGGCUUGGGACCGGCCAUGUAAGACAUAAGCGGAGUUAUAUUGGUGGAUGUGAUCAAAUGGAAGAAAUUGUGUCGAAGCAGGGGAGGGAACAUGAGGAGGAAGCCGAUAUGAUAUCUUUCCAUAAAUUAACCAAUUUGAGUUUCUGGGGUCUACAGAGUUUGGUUGGUUUCUUCCAAGCCAACAAGCUAUACUCCAACCAAGAAGAGGUAUGUCCCACUCUCCAAUCUCUAUGAUAUGAGGAGGCGGCCGAUAUGUGGAAAUUUGAAAUUGUGUUAACUGAUAAUGAUUUUUCUUUUUCAGGAAACAACGGCAAGGGUUGAGCAUCAAUCUGCAGGCAUAUUUGAAAAAGCAAUAUUUCCAUCAAAGUGCAUUUCAUGGUUUCCAAGUUUAGAAGACGUAUAUUUGGUUGAUAUGAAUUUUGAAGGCGUACUAUUUGAUCUGAAAAUCCCUAUAGUUAUGGAUGGGCAGACAACUCCAAUAUUUCCCCAGUUACAUAAGUUGGAGAUAUUCAUUUGUUCAUUUACACACUUGUGGAAAAACAUUCCAUCUGGAUUUCAGGGCUUCCAAAAUUUGAGAUAUUUGGAAGUAAGUGGAUGUUGUGGUCUAAAAUAUGUGUUCUCGCAUUUAAUUGCCCAAGAACUGUUGAAUCUUGAAGAGGUAAAGAUAACAGCAUGUCCGAACAUGGAAACUAUAGUCAGAAUCACAGAGGAAAAUGAAGAAGAGGCGACAAAAUACAUGAUUUUGUUUCCGAAACUGAACACAUUUGAACUAGAUGCCCUGCCUCGUCUCACAAGUCUUUGUCCAGAGGGAUUUACAUUUCUAUGGUCAUCCACAAAAAAUAUGCGCGUGAAAAGCUGUGAAAAUUUGAAGACAUUGGGUGCUGUAAUUCCACAAAGAAAGAAGUUGGAGAAUAACUUGAAGAAGGAUUCAACAAGUCAUGAUUUCAGCACUUCUCCAAGGAUUCAACAAGCUGGAUGUGGAUGCGCACCUUAUUCGUGACCAAACGCCCACCGCCCCAUUGAAAUAUUGCCACGUCCAAUUAACCUGGAGGUAAGCUUUUAAAUCAGGUUCAAUUAACCUCUAUAAGUACAACUUUUAAUUAGUAUUGUAUCAUCUUGUUGAUCGUGUUUAAUUUUCUAGGUUACACCAACUAAUCUUGAGGACUCAAAUGAUGAUGAUAAUCUUGAAAAUCUUACUGUAAGUGACUGUAAUUCGAUGGAAGUGAUUUUCCAACUCAAGGGACUGAAGCAUGAAGAAAGUAGUCACUCCGUUGAAGCAUUCAAUAAAUUGAGUUCCUUGCGGUUAUAUACAUUGCCAAGUUUAACGCGUGUUUGGGAGACGGGUAGUUCACAACCGAUGUUGACAGGAAGCAGCUUCGGAAACUUGAAAUCGCUGCGGGUCUAUUAUUGCAACCAGUUGAAAUACUUGUUUUCAUCGUCCAUAGUCAAACUUCUUGCGAGUAUAGAGGACAUAGAAGUUAGGAAGUGUGAGCAGAUGGAAGAAAUCGUUGCCGCAGAAGAAGAAACUGAUGAAACAAUUACAUUACCUAAAGUGAAGUCCAUCAAGCUUGCAAGUCUGCCAAAACUCAAGUAUUUUUGUGGUGAAGCUUAUACUUUGAAGUUGCCGUCUUUGGAGUCACUGAAGGUUGAUGACGUGCAAAACUUAAGCCUAUUAGCUCCAAAGCUUAUUGCCACACAUCCCCGAUUGCAAGCAUACACCGCGUUGGGAGUGGCUGAAUGGAUGGGGGACCUCAAUGCCACUCUAAGGAAUAUUUACGACACAAGGUAUGCUUUAAUUUAAGGUUUCUGAUUUUCAAUCACUUAUGUGUGCAUAUUUAAAAAUGUUUUUUUUUUUUAACGUCUCUCUUUUAAAUCUUGAUGUAUACGUGGAAUUUCUGAAGUUUUUACAAAAGAAUAUAUAAUAGCAUACAUAUAUUAAUGUAUAUGUGUGUGUGUAUGCGAGUAUGUGCACACUAAAGUGUAUUUAAAUAUUUUUUUUUUUUGAAAACUCAAUUAUAUCUCAAGAAAACAUCGUCUUUUAUUUCUAAUACAGUAAGGAUGAAGAUAACGAAAUCGACAUUGAGGAUGAAGAUGACGAAAUCGACAAUGAGGAUGAAGAUGAAGAUGACGAAAUUGACGGCAAGGAUGAUGAUGACAAAAUCGACGGCAAGGAUGAAGAUGACGAAACCAACAGGGAGGACGAACACCGUUGAUUGAUCAAGCACAAAGGUUAGCAUGUUUCCAUCUCCAACUUCUUCUAGGUUUAGUAAAAACUGAUGAAAAUUAUAUAUAUAGUACUCAAAAAAGUAUUCUACCAUGUUUUAUAUAAUAUACACAUACAUGUAUAGCACUUGAAAAAUUGAACAGUUAAUAUAUACAUACAUGUAUAGCACUUAAAAAAUUGAACAGUUUGGAUCUAAAACCACAAUCUGCUACCUGAUUCAUUAGUGUUUGCUUAUUUGUGCUCGAGGUUGAUUAUACACGUGUAAGCUGAAUCACAUGUUUGUAGAAUGGACAAGCUGAAUAAAAUCUGUUUGCCCCCUAAAUGUAAUGGAAAUCAUAUGUAUCUAGGCAUGCUUAAUAUUUGAUAAAGAAAAACAUUUCUCAAAUAAAUGUCCACUCACACCUCCGGCAGCUCUCCCUGAGGAGCCUUGNNNNNNNNNNNNNNNNNNNNNNNNNNNNNNNNNNNNNNNNNNNNNNNNNNNNNNNNNNNNNNNNNNNNNNNNNNNNNNNNNNNNNNNNNNNNNNNNNNNNNNNNNNNNNNNNNNNNNNNNNNNNNNNNNNNNNNNNNNNNNNNNNNNNNNNNNNNNNNNNNNNNNNNNNNNNNNNNNNNNNNNNNNNNNNNNNNNNNNNNNNNNNNNNNNNNNNNNNNNNNNNNNNNNNNNNNNNNNNNNNNNNNNNNNNNNNNNNNNNNNNNNNNNNNNNNNNNNNNNNNNNNNNNNNNNNNNNNNNNNNNNNNNNNNNNNNNNNNNNNNNNNNNNNNNNNNNNNNNNNNNNNNNNNNNNNNNNNNNNNNNNNNNNNNNNNNNNNNNNNNNNNNNNNNNNNNNNNAGUUCAUUCAUCGCCUAUUCACAACAAUACAAGGUUCUACAGAGUUCAAUCCCACACCAUGUUAUAGACAUGCUUCAACUAUCAACCGGAACGUAAUCGUUAGGGUUCAACAACUUCCAGAUACAAAAUUACUAUAAGUCUCAUCUCCGACAUUCAUACAGAAAAUCGAAUAAAAUUCGAAAUCAAGAAUCAAUCCAAAAUGAAAGUUGAAAAUUUGGAAAAAGAACUUACAUUGGAGAACAGCCCACGAGAAGAGUAUCAUUUCUACCUCUUGGGUCGAGGUCCAAUUCCGGCGAUAUUGGCCGGAAACCCCUGGGUCACCGUUUCUUAGACUUGAAGUUGAGGAAAAUCGCCUACGAAUUUAUAGAAACUAACUUGGGGGAUAGGAUAAGGGUCGGCAAGAGCAUUCUGGAUGUGUAGUUUGAGAGCCUUUGGUGACCAGUGGACGACAGAGCUGUUGCGUCGGCACUCGGCAGUCUUCGGCUUGCUGUUGAAUGGGGCUCCUGUUGCAGCGCAGCGCAAAAGAGAAGGAGGAGAGAGGAUACGGGAGGAGGAGAGAAAAUGGGUUUCUCCCACCUUUUACAUUAAUUCUUUUCCACAUUUUUUUAUGGAAUAAACGAUAAUAUUUAUCAUCAAAGUGUGUUUGGUACGUGAGAUGAGAAGGAACAUGUAGGAAAACUAAUGAAAAUGACUUGAAAAUUUUGAGUUUUAAUGAUAAGGACAAAAUAAAGAGUAAAGUGAAUACUACCGGAUUGACUUUUUAGUGUAAAAAUGUGGUUUUUCGUUAAAGUGAACAGUACUGGGUGCUUUUCGUUAAAGUUCCCAACAUGUUUUGAUGAUAAUAAUGGUUAGAAGUAAUAUAGUUCAAAUUUAUUUUUGGUGAUAAUUGAAUAUAAGAUUUCUCUUACAAGUUACAAAUAAAAAUGAAUAUCAUAAAUUUUUUUUUCACUUUUAAUACACACGUAAAUAAAAAACAAAAUGAAAAUGGAAAGAAAUAAAAAUUUGAAUAGAAAUGAAAAAAUUAAGUAAAUUGACAGCAUAAGGUAAUCAGCCAUGAAUAAAAUAUUAUACCAUCCUUAAACAUUGUAGUGCCAUGGAAUCUCAUUUUAGUCUGAAUUUCCUUCUGCUUACACUCACGCGUUCAUAUUGAUGAGCACUACGAGAAAAUAUUAAGAUGAUAGGUCAUACUCAUACGUUCGUUUUUGUUGAGAAUUUUUUUGAAGGAUUUUGCAAUAUGGCAGCCAUGAUUUGCAAAGCCCACCAUCGUAGAGCUCGAUAUCGGCCUAACUUGUGGAGCCACCAUCGCAAAGAAGAACCUGGAAAGCUCAAUCCUUGUCGUCUUUUUCUUAUAUAAGUGUCAUUUUGGUGAACCAAAUGUUCCGAUUCCAACAUCCAAAAUACCACAAUGUGAUUUUUUUCAUACUACAAUUGGAUUGCAUCUUAAAAUUAUAAAGUCUUGGAGCAUUGGUCAUGCCAUCAUGCUGAUUUGUGUUGGAUUUCGUUAGAGAUCGUAAUUAAUCAAUCACCCUUUUUGUGUCUCCCUUCAAAAGCUCAAAUUGAAAUCUGAACUCCCUAGCAAAUAAGAGCCCAAUUUGACAACCAAAAUCUUCAUCGUUCGAGCAUCAAUGUUCUCUUAAAUUCACUACGAGCAAACCGCCAUGAAAUCUCCUUCAUGGACAUCUCAUAAAAUUAGAACGAUACAAAGAAGAUUAGUGUGACUCCUAAGCUAGGAUUACACGUAUGAAUCGUAAAAUAGUUCCUCCUCCACUCUUUGAUUCUCUCUUUCACUGGCUAACAAUAUUUUACUCUACCUUUUCACCCUAAGUAAGAAAGUAAGAAAUGAGCAUUUUGUUAGCAUCUUUUUGAAAAUUUCAAAUUUGAUCCUAAUAUCUCUUUUGCACUAUUUGACUGAACGACAAAUUUUGAUUGUCUAAAUAUUUAUAUCAAACUACAAAUAAUAUUGAUAUUAUAUAUUUAUAAUGUGACUAGAAUUGUAGUACCCAACAUAUCUAUCUUGAAAUAAAUUUUGUUGUCUAUGAAGUGGCCAACUCGACCCUCUCCUAUACUCUUUGAGUUUGUAUAAAUAUAUCAUUGUUUUAAAAAUUGACAUUCAGUACUGCGAUUUAGUGAUAUUCAUUAUCAGGUUCGAAUCUUAGGAGUGACGAGUUUGUGUAAAUAUAUCAUUGUAUUAAAUAUAAAUAAAAAUAAAAAAAAUAAACAAAAUAUUUUUUUGGUCGGACAAAAACACGAAAAUGCCCUUAAAGCCCAAAGUGACCCCUCUACCCUGCCGCUGCCUGCAAGUUCUUUCCUCGCCCCUGUUUCUACGUCCAAUUAAUCUGGAGGUAAGCUUUUAAAUCAGGUUCAAUUAACCUCUAUAAGUACAUCUUUUAAUUAGUAUUGUGUCAUCUUGUUGAUCGUGUUUAAUUUUCUAGGUUACACAACCUAAUCUUGAGGACUCAAAUGAUGAUGAUAAUCUCGAAAAUCUUCCUCUAAUUAACUGUAAUUCGAUGGAAGUGAUUUUUCAACUAAAGGAACCGGUGCAUGAAGAAAGUAGUCACUCCAUUGAAGCAUUCAAUAAAUUGAGGUCCAUGCGGUUAGAUAUAUUGCCAAGUUUAACGCGUGUUUGGGAGACGGGUAGUUCACAACCGAUGUUCACAGGAAGCAGCUUCGGAAACUUGAAAUCGCUGCGGGUCGUUGCACCGAUGAAAUAAUUACAUUACCUAAAGUGAAGUCCAUCAAUCUUAAACGUCGGCCAAAACUCAAGUAUUUUUAAGGUGAAGCUUAUACUUUGAAGUUGCCGUCUUUGGAGUUAUUGGAGGUUGAUGACGUGCAAAACUUAAGCCUAUUAGCUCCAAAGCUUAUUGCCACACAUCCCCGAAUGCAAGUAUACACCGCGUUGAGAGUGGCUAAAUGGAUGGGGGACCUCAAUGCCACUCUAAGGAAUAUUUACGUAAUCACUUAUGUGUGCAUAUGCGCACACUAAAGUAUCUCGCAAUGUGCACACUAAAAUAUGUUUUUUUGUUUUUUUUUUUUGGAAACUCGAAUUAUAUCUCAAGAAAACAUCUCUCUUUUAUUUCUAAUACCGAGAAGAAUGAAGCUGACGGAAUUCUACAAGACACCAUAUAACGAGGAUGUUAACAAUCACAAAAGGUUGUGGCUUCGGCUAUUCGCUUACUUUCAUAUAACGAGGAUACUGUUUCCGUUGCUUACUAUAUGUAUAAUUAAUUUCGAUUGCGAUUAUUACUGUUUGAAUUCAUCUCUUGACUGCCUAUGGGGACGUCAAGGUGGACACCAAAAUGGAGGCGUGAUGACCUGCAUCCGGAAAGUGACGUAGCCAUAACGUGCAUGCAAAUAUAAUUUAAUAAAAUAACUUCAAAUGAUCUACUGAAAAAAUCGGCAUAGUUUCCUUUGGAAUUAGGUUUUGGCCCCCAAAUUUAAAACCUGCUGAAAAAGUUAUAAUUAUUUCAAAACCACAUCCCCGACACCUAAUGGGUUAUCAACCCUCUACUACAUGCACGCAUACUCCAAUAUACUUACUGGUGGUAUAGCAUACAAUUUCAUACACUAGUGAUAACUAGUGUAAGCUGAAAAUUUAACCAUACACGCUAGUGUAAACUGAAGAUAAAACCAUACAUUAGCUGUAGCUAGUGUAAGCUGAAAAAUAUAAUCAUACACUAGCCGUAGCUAGUGUAAGCUGAAUGGGCAUCCUCACAGUAGGGACAAGAUGACUAUACUGUAGUAUAAAUCAUACACGUGUAAGCUGAAUAACAUGUCCGUAGCAUGGACAAGUUGAAUAUUCUUUAAUAUUAACCAUACACAUAUGCGGAAUGACAUGUUUGUAGUAUGGACAAGCUGAAUAUACUGUAAUAUUGACUAUACACGUGUAAGCUAAAUAAUAUUAUCAAACACUGGUUAUGGCUAGCUAGUGUAAGCUGAAUAUGUUCAUACACUGUAAGGUCUGGUAUUAAUUCAUAAAAUCUAUUCUUCCCCUAAACGUAACGGAAAUCAUAUGUAUCUAGGCAUGCUUAAUAUUUGAUAAAGAAAAACAUUUCUGAAAGAAAUGCCCACUGACACCUCCGGCUAGCUCUCCCUUGAGGAGCCUUGUCUACCAAAAAGGUAAUUUCAAGCAACUUCAAGAGAGAAUUUGACCACAUCGCGAAAGUAUGACACCAAACGGUUGAGACCUAGAAGACAUCCAAGAGUUUUUGGAGAAACAGAACGCUCACUGAAGAUAUGUAUUCUAUUUCUAUAGCACGUUUACCCCAAACAAAACACAGGUUAUGGAAAGGAAAAUAACAUUAAGAAAUGCAAAAGAUUGGGGAGAUGCGAAAUAACUCAUCUCUGGUCCUGGAAAUAUUGCAUACAAUAUUGCUCUACCAAUUAAACCAAAUCUUAUGACUCUAGUGACAAGCUAGAAAGCCACAAAAGAAUAAACAAGGAAUCAGGCUAUGCAAUUUCCUACCACAUUUUCACAUCAACGUGAUUGUUAGGGGUUUCAACAACUUCAGAGAAUUACCACAAAUCUCAUCUCCGGCAUUCAGGCAGAAAAAUCAAAUAAAAGUUUGAAAUCAAGAAUCAAUCCCGAAACUGAAAGUUGAAAUUUUGGAAAAAGAACUUACAUCAGAGUACUUUCCAUGAGGAGAAGAUCAUUUUUACCUCUUGGGUCGAGGACAUUCCACGGUGAGCCUGCAUAAAUGAACCAAUUAAACAAAGAAAUGAAAACCGAAUAACUCGGAAGCUAAAGUAUCACAGAUAGAAAAUUGCAUAUACCUAACUAAAAAUGCACAAUCUAACGAGAUGUGGUAGUCUAAGUGUAUAACACAAGGGUGAGAAGUACUCUAGUGCUCACAAACUGAAGCCACAAGACUACCAGAUAAUGUAGCUUCAGAAAUAUCAUUCGUUCUUUUGCGCAUAAUCAUACAUGCUCAUCAGAACAAAGUAUGAUCUCCAACGGAAAUAGAAGUGACACAGGUGAAAGUCAAAAUAAACAAACAAAUAAUAGUGAACGAGAGGCCCUAAAGAAUUGUUCUAACUAGGAGACAAGCUUAAAUUAUUCAGAUAAUAAGUCUUGCACAAACCCAACUUUCAAAAAUACUAGAUUAGUAUGCCGUGAUAUUUAACAAUGCCGUCAAAAACUUACUUGUUGAACAACUCAACCUGUAUUCCAUCUCCUUCUCUGCCAUACCAAAAAUUUGCACAAUUGUUUAAAACCAAAUUAAGGUCUUUCGAAAACCCACCUGAGAUUAUUUGAAAAACACGAAUUUAGAACAAUAAUUCAAAACCAAAGAACAGAAAAUCCAUCACACCAGAGUAAAAAUUAACCAUCUUGUUGCUUCCUAACUCUCAAGAAAUAUCCACGUCUCACUUUUACUAAUGUCAAAACACCGCCAUCAUUGAUCAAUUAGACAAAUAAGACCCAAUUCGAUUACGCCCAAACUCACAGAACACCCAGAUUCCCAACACCAAUUGAACAAUCUAACCAUGAAUUUCCAAAACUUUCCCCAAAAUCCAGCCUUGGGCAUGCAUUAAAUCCAAUCUAAAACUUGAAUUCAUUUUUAGAGAACAAAAUGUAAAAACUUUGGAACAAUGAAGCAAAAGGGUACUCACCUGUUCCUUGUCCAAAACCGUCGGCGCAUUGUUGGGGGCAGCCAUUAGAACCUGAACAAUUCGCAAAUUAAUUUACACAAACUUCUUCGAAACCGAAUGAAUUAGCAGAGAGGGUUUAAGUAAUCUUACUCGGCGGGAUGGAAUCGAACGCGCUGAAAGUGGUUGCUGUAAAUGCAGAGGGGUUUAAGCGUCCGAUUUGAAGCUAAAGCAGAAGAAAAUAAAAAUCCCACUGAGCUAAUAAUGUACGAAUUAGGGUUUUAGGAGUUAAUAUAGCGUGUAUAUGCGAUGGACGGUUUUGUUUUUAGGGGGGGACUUUCAACCGGAAAAGUUAGUGGAUUACUGCCCUUUCUUUUUUCCUUCCACCACAAGUAGUGCGAUAAUUUCAC
rnacentral:lncRNA from 1 species